rnacentral:lncRNA from 1 species
UUCAUGUGGAAUACGACAAUCUACAGAGGUAAGAAGCUGCAGCAUAUCAUACGCCUACAGAGUGAGACCAAACAACGAAAGUUUAGUGACGUAAUGGUGUCUGCUGAUUAGAAGUUUGUUUAGACAAUGAGAAAAAACGCAAGGUAUGAACAGAUGCGUAUUGAUAAAACCUCAAGAGUGAGCGUGAUACCCACGAUGACUGGUGCAUUCAGAACCAUGUCAUGGAAGAUAGAAUACCUCGCAUGAGAACUUGGAACUAGCAGACUUCAGGGGUAAAACUUAAAUGGCGGUCACACUAGGAACGGUGCAUGUGUCGAGGAAAAUGCUAUGUCUCUAAGAUGCAGGAAUGAACUGAGAAAUGGUACAGGUAACCCAAUGGUACAGGUAACCCAAACAUCAUAAAAGGUGGAGAGAAUUGUGAUAGUAUUAAUUCUAAUAAUACUAAUCAUACGAUCCCGUGAUCGACCAGACUAUCGGAUGUGGUUAUACAUCACUGGCCACAAUGCGCUUUGCAUCGUUUUACCUUUGCAUCGCUUUAACAACAUCGCUCCCUGGAUCAGAAGGCUGCUCCUUUACAACUGAAUGGAAUUACGCAACAUGAAAUGAAGUGUCUUGCUCAAGCGCAUAAAACUCAGCUGAUCUGGGAAUCGAACUCAGGAUCUCACAAUCGUUAAUGUAAAAAGCUUAGCCCCUAGGCCACCCGCCUUCACAAUAUCACGAAUCGAAUGCUAUUACUGAUGAUAAUCUGUUCUCCUGUCGUCACAGGAGCUGAAAUUUUGUUUAGGGAUCAGGGUGCUUGUCGAUUACCACGUUCAAUUUAUUUCAUUUAACCUGAAAGAAUGAAUGACAAAAAUCGGUCUCAGUGGAAUUUGAACUCAGAACGCAAAGCCAAAGCAGUUGGGCAUGUUAACAAUUCCCCAAGACUGGGUAUAUGAGCAUUUAAAUAGAAUCUUAAUGAAACAAAAAUAUCGGUUGUUGUUGUACUUGUAGUUGUUGUUUGUGUGCAGGCACGUGUGUGAUAUAGCUUCGUAAGGAAAGAAUGAGGUGUAUGUGUACAUUCUGAGAUCUCCUAGUUCGUGCUUACAGAAACGUUUAGCGUGAUGCCUGUUAAGUUUCGUGUAUUGGACAUAUACAAUAUCCCAUUCAUAAUCAUUUCAAUUUAAGUGUAAUUUGUUAUAAUAUAAAGAAGGUAUGGAAGAUCACAAUUUCUAUGGGAUGACAUUAUCGCUGAAACCAGAAGAAAUAUUACAUAUUUUAUUGUGUCGAUAAUAGACUGUUCCUUUCCAUUGUUCGAAGUUCUUUGGGAUCCUUCCUUUACACGUUGAAGUGAUAUUCUUAAUAGAAAAUCUGCUGCGCUCUGAUACAAAUCUGGACGCUGCUGGCUCUCUUAGUAAAUUAACUUCAUUUGUACAACAAAUGCUCUCGGGAAACAUAACUCCAUAACACACAUUCCAUAUUUCUCCUGUUUUAUUAUACACAACAUAUGAGCCUUGUCAGAAAGAUAUUCUGAUAUUAAUUAUAAAUUCCCUCCUGACUUGGACUUCACGUUUUACUUCACCUUUUACUCAAAUUAUUCCAGUAUUUGUGUAUAAGAAAGCACAAAUGCUAUGUACUUUGAAAAUGUGAUCUAGCCUGUCGAGAGAGAGAGAGAGAGAGAGAGAGAGAAACGGGGUUCGAUCCCUUUUAAACUUUGAUGUAUAUUGCGCAAUACACUGCAAACAUUCUCGAGAUACGACGGAUCGACAGAACUGCAUAUUUUUUACUCUUGCUAAAACUAUGCUAUUUCGUCUACUCAAAAACACAUAUCUAUAUAUCUAUAAGUUAAAUAAGUGUUAACAAAUAACAAAUAUUAAGUGACGAUGAGGAAGAAAAGAAUUAUAUUGUAUAAUUAUGAAUAAAGUCUGGAAGUUUCAGUAAGAAAAUGUAACUCCUCCCUCAUCUAUUCCGGAUUCAUAAUCAACUACUUACCACGAUACAAUGGCAAAAACGCAUCGAAGAAAGAAGUGAGAUCGUAUGACGUCAUGCUUUUCUUAAAGAUAUCCGUGACGGAAGUUAAGUCUAAGGAACUGCAUUGAAUCAGGAAACAAAUUUAUUUAACCGAUUCUGUUCGCCAGCAGCUUUGCCUUUUGUUCUACGAUGCUUGUCACAAUUUUACAAGAUUUCAAUCUAUGUGCGUAAUUUAUAGAAAAGUUGAACAGAUUUGAAAAAAAAAAAUCAUUGAUUUGAUUAGUCUACUGCAGCAGAAAUUUACCAAAAUUGCAUCUGCAAAAACACGAUACUGGCUACAUUGUAACGAUAUGAUUUUGUGACAAACUUACUAUCAUCAUCAUCAUCAUCAUCAUCAUCAUCAUCAUCAUCAUCAUUAUCAUUAUUAUUAUUAUUAUUAUUAUUGUUAUUGUUAUUAUUAUUAUUAUUAUUAUUAUUAUUAUUAUUAUUAUUAUUAUUAUUAUCAUUAUCAUUAUUAUGAUUUUAUGAUUAUUAUUAUUAUUAUUAUUAUUAUUAUUAUUAUUAUUAUUUUCCUUCUUUCUUAAAAUUUUCUUCCGCUUCUCGCCGAGUGUUUUCCGUACACCUAGGGCUGAGAUGCUCAUUGUAUGCAUUCCCAGAUUACACAUGCAAAUUCACAGGUAAAAAAAAAAUUAAUAGAUAAAUAAAUCCAUGAAUGGAUGUUGUUUUCACAGCAAUAAUUCUCUUCUCAGUACAUGAGUCGUUCCAGUUAACACAAUUGUUUGCACUUCCUGUAGGGAUGGUAAGCCUGGAAUCAUUUUCAAAUAGGUUUCAGUACCCAUUUUAUAUCAUUCCUAGAGAUCCUACAAUCACUGGUGCUGUAGUUGCCUUGAGAUGCCACAUUUUGUCAAUUUCUAUUAGCAAGUCUUUAUAUUUACUGAUCUUGUCAAAUUCUUUCGCCGCUAUAUUGUGAUCGCAAGGAAUAUCCGGUUCAUUAGCUUUUAUAGCUUUGUCGGUAUGUACCGGUAGGUCCCAUAGAAUCGACACAUUUUCUCCCUCAGUCACAGCUUCAAGAUGGUGUUUAUACCAUUUGUCAGCGGUUUUGAUUUUAUAAUAUCGACAUAUUAUCCAGUGUAAAUGCUGGCCGACUCUGUCAUGUCUUGCUCCAUAUUCUACAGGUGCUAAGACUCUAUCUACAUCCUGAGAUUAAGUGGUCUAUUGUUUCAAUCUCAUUGUUACAGAGUCAGCUCCAUUUUUUAUCACAUUGGCUUGGUAGUUCCGCGUUAAUAAGCUUUGGUCUUGAGCAGCUAAUAGGAAACCUUCACUCUCUGCUUUUAGCCCUGAGCUUCGUAACUAUUGAUGCUUGUGUUUCUGGUCGACAUCAGCUUGUUUGCUAUUAUUAUUAUUAUUAUUAUUAUUAUUAUUAUUAUUAUUAUUAUUAUUAUUAUUAUUAUUGUUGUUGUUGUUGUUGUUGUUAUUAUCAUUAUCAUCAUCAUCAUCAUCAUCAUUAUCAUGAGCUAUUUUUCUGGUUAUGAUGGAAAAUGUCAGCUACACAAAAGCAGCAGAAUGAGGUGAUAUUUGCUUAUUGAUCAUGCUCCAAGAACCCUGCAAAGGGCUCUUGUAGAAUAGAUUUGACCUGCUCCACUCCAACGAUUUGGAUAUAUAUAUAUAUAGUUGAAAUUUAUAAAGAAACAAAGAACAAAGACAAGUGUAUGAAAAACAAGCAAGUGCAUUAGUUUGAUGCUCGGGAAAAGGAAAAUGUCGUUUACAUUUCGCGCCUCCGCUCUUUAACAGAACUGAAUAAGAGAAAAUAAACAGAGAAUGAAUAUAAAAAAAAAAAACUUGUAGAUUUCAGCGGCCCAGCAUGUCGAAGCUUCUAUACUUUUCCCGUCACAAAAUUCAUUUAGGCAUUGAUCGACCUCAGGUUAUAAUAGUAGAUAUUUGCCCAAUGUGUCGCGCAGUAGUACUGAACCCGAAACCCGUUGGCAGAAAGUGAGCUUCUUACCGUACACCAAAAAUUAUUCCAACAUUUCCGUGUUUCUAUAUAAAUUAACUGUUUUAUUUUUCUUUGCUAUCUGCUAUCAGAUCAUCCCGGUGUCGUCUGCACUUUUCAAAGACAUUAAUAUUGAAUGAUAAGCAUACGAUACUUCUAUUGCCAUUUAUGUUGUUGACGUCGUUGUUGCUAAAUUGUUGUAGAAAGAUUAUUUUUCUUGUCUCAAAUAAAUUACUUCCUGGUUACUUUCUAAAGUUUUCCUCCAUCUUGUUGAUCGAUUAGAUGUUGGUCCACAUUCGAUGAGUUUGCAAUGAGUGAACGGAGGAAUUUAAAUGUAAAUAGGAUUAAAUUACUCUUCUAAAUUAAUCAUAUCGCUGAAUCAAUAAUAAAUACAUUAUUAUUGUUACUGUUCUUGUUGUUGUUGAUGUUGUGUUGUUGAAUUCGACAACAACUACGACGACGGCGAUGAUGACGAUGAUGAUGAGGAGGAGGAGGAGGGGGAGGAUGAUAAUGAUGAUGAUUAUAAUGAUGAUUUAAGGCGGCGAGCUGGCAGAGACGUUAGCACGCCGGGCGAAGUACUUCGCGGUAUUUCGCCCGUCGCUACGUUGUGGGUUCAAAUUCCGCCGAGGUCGACUUUACCUUUCAUCCUAUAGGGGUCGAUAAAUUAAGUACCAGUUACGCACUGGGGUCGAUGUAAUCGACUUAAUCCGUUUGUCUGUCCUUGUUUGUCCCCUCUGUGUUUAGACCCUUGUGGGUAGUAAAGAAAUAUAUAAUGAUGAUCGUCAUCGUAAUCAACAGUAUUAUCACCAUGAUCAUUAUUAUAAUCAUCGUAAGCUCGGUGAAUGAGCAGAAUCGUAGGGACAACGUGAAAAACUCUUCGCGACAUUUCUUUCGAAAAUUAAGGUUGUAAUUUCACAUCUCACCGAGGAAAUCUCUUUUUGGGUCGAUAAAAUAAGAAGCAAUAAAGUAAUGGAAUUAAUGUCCCCUCUCGUGAACACUGCUGCCCCAGUGCGACGACGAAGAAGAAGAAGAAGAAGAAUAAGAAGAAAUAGUAGUAGUAGUAGUAGUAGUAGUAGUAGUAGUAGUAGUAGUAGUAGUAGUACCCAAUUGCAGUUGGGUAGGUCAUGUUCAAAUACAAGAUGAUCGCAUUCUGAAUUUUCUUUUGUAUGGCCAAUAAGUCGAGGGAUACCACGGUAAAGGAAGACUAUUCCUUAAGUAUAAUGAUAAGUUGAAACAAUCCCUAAAAUUCCUAUAGUUUAUUUUAACAUCUUGCGAAGGCUAUUGCCGGGAUCAAUAUCCGUGGCGUAAAGUGUGCCCUGGUGCAUCGAAACAAUUUGAGUUGAAACGGAACAGUAAAGGAAUUUUAUCCUGCAAUCAACAGACAAAUUUGUCCAUUCAUAGGUAACCAAAAUCCUCAUUAUGCCCAUUACGACUUUGUAGCAAAAUCCAUUCCUGGACCCAUAUUACAUUCGCGAGUUCAUCGCAAUUAAAUGCAAAAUCUUUAAUUUUUCUUUUUUCUUUUUUUUAUUCAAGUCCUCUCCUUCAAACAUGCAUACGUCAAAAUCGAUGCAGCUGUAGUAGUAGUAGUAGUAGUAGUAGUAGUAGUAGUAGUAGUAGUGUUUUUACUGUUGUCGGUGCUGUUAUUGUUGUAGACAGAUACUUUGUCUCUUUGCAACUUAAAGAACAAGCUAAAGAUCAUUUUGGUUAUUUUCCUCAACUCAAUAUUCGAAAAACUUUCGUUCGAGUUCUUGUGACUCUUACUACAAACGCUCACUUCUGUGUAAUUCCUUUUGCCCUGAGUCUAAUGCCAUGAGCUAGAUUUCCAAAGCAGCACAAAUCAUAACUUCAUGUGGCAACUUUACUGAGACAUAAGAAUCUCUACAACCAUUUUCUUAUUAUCGGUUUUGGCCUCUUUCGAUUAUAUGCUGGAAUAUUCAUUGUAUAAUGCAAUAUAGUAUAGCACCACUUCACCGAAAGAAAGAAAAUUCAAUAAGACAAUUUCAAUCUUCUCUCUCUGUGUCUCUGUCUCUUUCAGUGUGUGUGUGUGUGCGCGCGUGUGUGUGUUUCUCUUUCUUUCUCUCUCUCUCUCUCUCCCUCCGAAUGUUUCUCUGUCUCCAUCUCAAUCUGUUCGCUUAUGAAACACGUCAUUCUAUUUCCUCCUCCUUUAGUUCUUAGGAAACCUACUUUACACGGUGUCAACGUUUUAUCAGAAUACUCACACAAACAAAGCAAUGACAGACGAAAUAGAAGAGAAGGAAAGACGAAGUUACAUACAAAUAAGCAUUUCUGAUACGUAACAGCACACACAGAUGAUUCUAGUAUUUGCAUGGCUAUUGUAGGUAUUAACAUACGGUUUAUGAGUGAGAGCCAUAACCAAAUAUUAGAAGAAUCAGAAAUAAUAUAUACAGUAUUUUCCAUUAAAUACGAAUUGAGUAAAUAGAUUUGCCCCCAACUUGGUGACCUCAGCUCUUGGCGUUCGUAGCUUUUGUUUGACCUUGUAACAUUUCCACUGGUGGUUUUAAUAUCACAAAAGCAUAUCAGUGGAUUCAAACUUGAUAUAAUUUGACAGUUGACCUAACUGCUACAGAGGCAGACGUCACUUCUGUUGGAUUUCUAUAGCAGCAAUGCAAUAAUAUAAUGCUACAGUGAAAGCUUUUUCCUGGCAUCGUAAAGUUCGUUUAUUACUGAUUAUAUUGACGUGGAAGAGUACUGACAUUCUGCUCAGUAAUUAUGGCUUUAUCAAAACUUGGACAUCUUAUUUAUAUACGAUAUAAAUAUAUUCUCUUACUUGUUAUUCUGUGAUGGCUAAAUGAUAUUAUGAACUCGCGGAUUAAAUUCUUAGCUUUUGAUCUGUAAAUUCGUGUUUCAUGAUGAUAAUGCUAAAAAUUGACUUUUUUUUAUUGAGAUGCUACUUCAUAGAGAGGUUUCCGCUGUUUCAAGAAAUAGGAAAGAAAGUAUCUCUUGGAUAAAACACUGGUGUUUCUGAGAGAAUUACCUGGAAAUAUAACUGGUACCAAUUAUUGACAAGGGAGGGAACAACAACCUUUUCUGGUUAUUGUGUAUAAGUGAUCGUCAACCGAACGAUCAGGCGUGAUUGCAUGGCAAGAAUCUUGCUCCCCAACCACAUGGUUGCAGGUUCAGAGCCACUACGUGGCCCGUUGUGUAAAUGUCUUUGAAUAUAGCCUCGGGUCAACCAAAGGAUUAGAGUGGCUUCAGAAGACGGAAACUGAAAGAAGCCCGACGUAUAUAUAUAUAUAUGAGGACUCUCACACACAAAAGAAUCUAAUAUGGAUGCAUAUCACAUAGAUUAUUCUAUGAAAAAUAUACCGAUCCCAUCAAAGGAUUUUUACUCUAAGAAACUUCUGCAGAAAAUUACUGAUGUAAUUAAGCGUAUGAGAUGGAAGGCUUUCUUUUUUGAUACAGAAGCGGACACCAAGGAAAAUAUUUUCUAUCGAAUAAAAUCCAACAAAUUCCCUCCCAGGAUUAAAGGCUUGGAAGAUUUCGAAGCGGACCUGCUGAAAAUCAUGAGCAAAAUAAAAUUUCGUAAGUCUUUUAACGAUUUCCAACAUAAAUUGAAAAAAGAUAUUAAUCAUAUAAAAAGCUCCAAGAAAAAAGCACUUUUUUCGGAUAAAACCAAGAAAUUAUACCUGGAAGAUAACAGCAAAUACACACAACUCUUACACAACAGCAUCAUUAAUAAUUAUACUAAGGCUAGGGCACAGACAUAUAACGAAAUUAAUAAAGAAGCUAGCGUCAUCGCCGCUAAACUUAAAUUAGAUAAAAAAUAGAAGCCCUCCCCCAAAAAGAGGCCUUUAUUACUAUUAAAGAUCACAAAGAAAACUUCUUUCCAACCCUAAAUGUAGGCUUAUCAACCCAGCCAAGUCAGAACUAGGGAUUAUUAGCAAAGAAAUUUUAGAUAAAAUAAAUACGAAAAUUAAGACCGACACUAGGCUAGUACAAUGGUCCAAUAGUAUAGAAGUCGUAGACUGGUUUAAAGCUAUUAAGAAUAAGAAAAAAGCGAGGUUUACACAAUUUGAUAUUGUUGAUUUUUAUGCCUCUAUCUCUAAAGACCUGCUAGAUAAAGCCCUCAUCUUCGCUAGUGACUUCAUAGAAAUUAGUACCAAUGAUAAGGACAUAAUCUUCCAUGCUAGAAAGACAUUACUUUUCAGUGAGAAUGCAAAGUGGGUAAAAAAACACCGACACGGAGGGCGCUUUCGAUGUGAGCAUGGGUUCAUAUGAUGGGGCAGGCAUCUGUGAUCUAAUUGGACUCUUUCUCCUAGAUACCUUCGGUAAGACAUUCCCUAACGUACAUUUCGCCAUCUACAAAGAUGAUGCCCUCGCCUUAACAGCUAAUACAAAUGGACCAGCACAAGAUCGUUUUAGGAAGGAUAUUAUCCAGUUAAUGAAACACUUCGGACUUAGUAUAACUAUAGACACUAACCUGACGGUUGUCAAUUUCUUAGACGUUUCCUUAGAUCUUAAUAAGAAUAUUUAUAAGCCUUAUAGGAAGCCCAAUGAUAGACUAAGUUAUAUUAAUGUAGGUUCAUGCCAUCCCCCUAUAGUAUUCAAAAAUUUAGUUAAAAAUAUUAGUAAGAGGAUUUCUAGCCUCUCAUCUAAUGAGGACAUCUUCAAUAGCGUUGCCCCAGUUUAUAAUAAGGCUUUAAAAGAUAGUGGUUUUAGCGAAAAAAUAAAAUAUACACCUAUCACUAGCCCAACAGUAAGGAAAAGGAAUAAUAGAAAUAGGAAGGUCAUCUGGUUUACGCCCCCUUACUCACCCGAGGUGGCCUUCAAUAUAGGUAAAUAUUUCCUAGCACUGAUAGAUAGACAUUUUCCAGUUAACUAUACUUAUAGGAAACUCUUCAAUAGACACAAUUUAAAAAUUAGUUUUAGUUCAACUACCAAUUUUAAAAACAUAAUCAAACAUAACAUACAAAAAACACAAGAAGAAAACAGCUGUUCAUGCAGGAAUAAAGAAUUGUGCCCGCUAAAUGGAGCUUGCAUGUCCAAGACCAUCAUAUAUGAAGCUACCGUAAACUCUAUAACCAUUAAAUACACCGUUUCGACGAAGAAAUACGUGGGCCUUACAGAGGGUAAUUUCAAGGCCAGGUUCAAUAACCACACUUUGAGCUUUAGGCACUGGAACAAAAGAAAAGCGACACAAUUAUCCAAUCAUAUUUGGUCUUUAAGAGAUAAAGUGUCGAUUAUAACAUAGAAUGGAAGAUUUUGGCCGGACGUAAGCCCUAUACUAACGGCAGCGGAAGGUGCGGUCUAUGCGACAUGGAGAGAUGGCUUAUCUGGAAAAGCAGCUUAGACCCUACUACAUGUCUAAAUACAAGGACAGAGUUUUUCGGAUCAUGCCCACAUGUGACUAAAUUUCUCUUACGUUUUUGGUCCCCUAAAGAAAACGGAUAGAACAUGCUUUCUGUGUUAUGUCCCAAGAAGAAUUUAUAUAUUUUUAUAUAUUUUUAUAUAUUUUUUAUGUAUUUUUAUAUAAUUUUUAUGACGAAAAAUGCGAGCGAUGUAUAAGUACGCAGGCAAAGCAGAGUUAUAACAGAGUAAUUUCCCUUCAUUUUAACGGUAUUUUUUCAUAACGUUUUCAAAUAGCCAGAUAACCGAAGAGAUGGUGUUGUGGAUUUCCACUUCGGCAUCUGAAACUCAGAGUUUUAUCUUGACUACCGAGUAAUGUAAAAUAUUGUAUAUAUAUAUAUAUAUAUAUAUAUAUAUAUAUAUAUAUAUAUAUACAUGUAUGGAUGUGUGUAUAUAUAUAUACAUAUAUAUGUAUGUAUAUAUAUAUAUAUAUAUAUAUAUAUAUAUAUAUAUAUAUAUAUAUAUAUACAUGUGUAUGUGUGUGUAUGUGUACGAUUUUGUGUGUCUGUGUUUUCCCCACGAGCCCGUUUUAAAACCAGUGUUGGUGUGUUUACAUACCUGCAACCUAGCAGUUGGGCAAAAGGAAACGAGGGAGUUCAUAUCAAGCAUAGCAAAAUAAGUGCUGUUCUCGAUUCGUUCGACUAGAACCGUUCCAGGUAAUGCCUGAAACAAGUAUAAGUUAAAAGAUAUAACAACAAAAAUGUCAAAAUAAACAAUAUACUACAUUAUACACAAACAAAUGACGGGGCCUCUAUGUGCACAUUCAACCUGCUAGAAAUAGCAACUAAAUCUCACGUCUUAAAAAGAAACAAUACUCUGCAGAGAAUAGUAAAAUGUGAGUGUGUAUAAGACGGUUUGGUCUCGGCUGGAACAUUUCGAUUACAAAUGUGUUCAAUUAGGUUUUACCGGCAGCACCAUUGAGAGCAUUUUGUAAAUUCAUGUUAGAAAACAUGUAUUCAUGCAGAAUCGGCUGACUUUAUCACUGUUUCAUGUUAUAAUAACAGUCUGUUUAAGCGAUAUUAAUACAGUUAUAUAAAGUCAUAUACACAGGUACGAAGCAUUUCGUCCAGCGUGCUAAUGAUUCUGCCAGCUCACCACCUUAAUAAUAAUAAUGAUAUUCCUUUCUAUUCUAGACACAAAGCCUGAAAUUUGGGGGAGGGCGUUUGUCGAUAAUAUUGACCCCAAUGUUUCAUCGGUAAUUAAUUUAUCGAAACGAAACGAGGAAAGGCCUAGUUGACCUCGGCAGCAUUAGAACUCAGAACGUAGUAACGGGCGAAUUACCGCUAAGCAUUCUUUUCUACUCUAGGCACGAAGUUUUGGGGGAUGAAGCCAGUGGAUUAGAUCGACCCCAGUACGCAACUGGUACUUAAUUUAUCGAUAGGCAAAGUCGACCUCGGCAGGAGGUGAAAGGCAAACUCGACCUAAGCAGAAUUUGAACUUGCAACGUAAAGAAACGAAAUACAUAUUUCUUUAUUACCCACAAGGGGCUAAACAUAGAGGGGACAAACAAGGACAGACAUAGGUAUUAAGUCGAUUAUAUCGACCCCAGUGCGUAACUGGUACAUAAUUUAUUGACCCCGAAAGGAUGAAAGGCAAAGUCGACCUCGGCGGAAUUUGAACUCAGAACGUAGCGGCAGACGAAAUACCGCGAAGUAUUUCGUCUAGCGUGCAACCGAUUCUGACAUCUCGCCGCCUUCCGCUUCGAGACGUAAUGAUGAACGUUUUAUUUUAACUUCUGAGCUAUAAACUAUUCGCCCGCUUUCCCAUCCACUCUGCCAUUUCCCUCCCCACCCCACACAGACAUGGACUUAAAGCAGCAUCAAUCUAUACAGAGCUUGCUACACUAUUGCCGCACGUCAAGCAAAUACGUACGUUUCUUUAUAAUACGUUUCUUUAUAAUACGUUUCUUUAUAACAGUUGUGUUUUUGCAACAUGAUAUAAUCUUACGCAACUUGUUUUCAAGCCAUGUCACGAAUUUGGGAUUAAUUUCAAACUUUGGCUCAAGGCCAGCAAUUUAGGGGCAUGAAGUCGAUUAUAUUGAUCUCAGUGUUUAACUGGUACUUAUUUUAUAGACUUGUUAGGAUGAAAGGCAAAGUCGACCUCGGCCGAAUUUGAACUCAGAACGUAAAGACGGAUGAAAUGUCGCUAAGCAUUUUUGCAGAGCACGGUAACGUUUCUUGUUUCUUUAUUACCCACAAGGGGCUACACUCAUAGGGGGCACACAAGGACAGAAAAACGGAUUAAGUCGAUUAUAUCGAUCCCAGUUUCUAACUGGUACGUAUUUAAUCGACCCCGAAAGGAUGAAAGGCAAAGUCGACCUCGGCGGAAUUUGAACUCAGAACGUAGCGGCAGACGAAAUACCGCUAAGCAGUUUUGCCGGGCGCGGUAAUGUUUCAGCCAACUCGCCGCCUUCGUAACGAAUAUAAUACAAAAUGAAGCCAUAGUUGAAUUCUGUAGAGAGAAGACCUACGAAUUGUAUGAUUAUACAGUUGCUUGUUUGUUACAGUCAAUAAAGCAGUGUACCCGAGCUACGUUAGGGCCACGUCCUGGUAGGUAUUUCUCUUUUUAAGCGCCGUAUUGCAGAAAUACAUCGAUAAUAAGGGUGAUUUAAGGAAAAGUUUAGAUUUAGAGUUUAGAUAUUUCUAAAAAAAUGUCUUACGUGUCACAUAGGAACGGGCUCCAAUUGUUUGAUGUGAAAAUCUUAUUGCAAGACAUCAUGACGACUUAACGAAUUGAAGAUUACGAGAACUUCUCAUUAAAGAUAUUUUAUAUAACUGACCGGAUAAUAAGAGACAGAAAGAAACAGGUUGAUAGAGAGAAAGACAUGCAGAAAGAAACAGGUAGAUAGAAAGACAGACAUACAGAGAGAAAGAGAGAUAAAAAAAAAUAAGAGAAAAGAGACAGAGUGAGGUUAAUAAAAGCUACAUUUUCGUGUGCAGCCCAACACACUCAUGAUGAAAGAUCACCAAAUCAGCGAAAUAUUUACAAAUUUAUCCCCACAGCCAUCAUUGUGCUUGCUUGUUUCACUACUUUCCUUUUCAAACGUAACAGGAGAUAUUCUAUAGUUCUGUGAUCAAAUGUUGAUGUUUCACAAGUCCAUAUGCUUCAGCAGAUAGAGGACACUGAAAACCAGGCUGACUUGAAAUAUAUAUCGAUUAACUUCGUGUUCGGGACUCUAUUAAAUUGAUUAAACUCUCGUGAAGCAAGACUUUUUGUUAUUUCGUUAUUCAUAAGAAUCCUGUUACCACACAUCAUAGAGUUUUCAUCAAGAUUUGACAGAAGUUUCAAAACUAAAUCGCUUAUAUUUUGUGUGCGAUUUGUGUGGGUGGGUGUAUAUGUAUGUAUAUGUAUAUGUAUAUAUAUAUAUAUAUAUAUAUAUAUAUAUAUAUAUAUAUAUAUAUAUAUACACAUAUAUACAUAUAUACAAAUAUAUAUACAUACAUAGAUAUAUUUAUUAAAGUAUAUAUAUAUACAAAUAUAUAUAUGCGUAUUAUGUACAUACAGAUGCAUUCUCAUAGAUAUAUAUGUAAGAGUACAUAUAUAAAUGCACACACACACAUAUAUAAAAGGAAUGUGCGCAUACAUAUUUAUACAUAUAGAGAGUUUUACAUUAUAUAUAUGUUUGUAUAUAUGCAUAUAUAUGUAUAUAUGUAUCUGUGAAGAUGUAUAUAUAUAUGUAUAUUUAUAAGUAUAUGUAUGUAUGUGUGUGUAUAUAUAUGUAUAUAUAUAAAUAGUUAGAUAUAUAUGUACAUAUACAGGUAGAUAGAUAGAUAGAUAGAGAGAGAUAGAUAGAUAGAUAGAGAGAGAGAGAGAGAGAGAUAGAGAGAUGGAUAAAUAGAUAAAUACAAACAUACACACAUACAUACAUGCGUAGAAAGAAAGAAAGAUUGGUAUCGAAAGAAAAGAAAGGAAUAUAAGUAUAAAGAGUAUAAGUAUAAAGAAAGACUAGCAUCUUAGACGCACGCACACACACACACACACACAUACACACACACACAUACACACACACAUAUGCACGCACACACGCUGAAAUACACACACUUGCAUAAGAGCGGAGACAUAGUUUGUCAUAUUAAGAAUAAUGGCGAUCUACGGCUGUGUUAUGGUGGACGUGUCUAGACUUAGUUUGCGAUGGAAUAUAAGUGUGGCUUUCUGUUGAAUUGGCGUAAUCAUCAUGGGAACUGAAAAUGUAAUAGGAAAUGGUAAUAAUUAUCGAGAUGUCAUGGCAGGCACGGGAUAUGGUGUUGCUUCAAUGAUUGCGUUUAGCGUUUUUGAUUAUCGAAUGUUGGACUUUGAACGACGGGUAAAGCCAGCCGUCGUUUCAUUACUGUCAAACCUUUCCAACCUUCUCUUGUCUAGAAAAUAAAUUAUUUCGGGGGGAGAGUCGCCAAUGAUAGAUGUCAUAUUGCUUCAAAUUGGCUUAUAUCGUCAUAAUUCUCUUUCUCUCUCUCUCUCUCUCUCAUAUAUAUAUAUAUAUAUAUAUAUAUAUAUUGAUAUAUAUAUAUGCAUAUAUAUAUACAUAUAUAUGCAUAUAUUUAUAUAUAUUUGUAUGUAUCUAUGUAUGUAUAUAUAUAUAUAUAUGUAUGUAUGUAUGUAUGUAUGUAUAUAUGUAUAUAUAUAUAUAUAUAUAUAUAUAUGUGUGUGUGUGUGUGUGUGUGUGUGUGUGUGUGUGUGUAUAUAUAUCGACACAAACAAACAGAUGUUUUAGUUUAACGCUCGGGAAGGUGAGAAAGUAUUUUACGUUGCGACCCUACGUUCUUUAACAGAAAGAAACACGAUGAAAUAAACAGAAAGAGAAUUAAAAAAAUAUUUUUGGAGCUAGGGGUCAAUCAUGGCGGCUAUAUAUAUAUAUAUAUCGAUAUAUACAUAUGUAUAUGCAUGUUUGUGUGUGAGUGUGUGUGUGUGUGUCUAAAUAUAUAUAUAUAUAUAUGUUUUUUGUAUCGUUUUUAUUUGUUUCAAUCAGUAGAUUGCGGCCAAUAAUUGGCACUAUAUCAACUAUCUUCAUUUUUCAUAUCCGCGAUAUUUAAUUCCUCCGUAGUCGACUUUCCCAUCCAUCUCUUCGGGAACGAUGAAGAAAGUACCAAUCAAGUGCUGGGCUCUAUGUAAUCGAUCAUCCCUUCCCCAAAAUUGCAGGCCUUGUGCCUAUAGCAGAAAAGAUUAAUAUUAUCAUAAUCAUUAUCAUCAUGAUCUCCAGCCCCACAGCUUCGACUACCGCCAUAAUCAUCACCGGUAUUCUUAUACCCGAUAUCUUCAUUAUUUUCUUCAUCACCUUUUCUUAUUGUCACAAUUAUUAUUAACACUAUUUACACUUUAAUUUUCAUCAUUAAAAUAUUUUUCCCUCUGUUACAAGUAACAUUAACGUUAUAUAAUUUUCUCUAAUUCUUGCUAAUUCUUUUUUCGUUUUUACUUUAUUUAAAUAUCUUAAUAUUCUAUUUUUGAAUCUAAAAAAUUUAUUUAUUUUUAACAGUCAUAUUGAAAUUUUAUUUGCCAUACUCUCCUCGUUAUUUCCAAUACUCAUAAUGAAUCGAAGAAUAAUUUCUUUGCCAUCUUUUAUUAGAUAAAAUUUUCUCAUUUAUAGCUUUCACAUUUUGGUUAAUAAUAUAAUAUUUCUCAACUCUCUUUCUUAUAUUUUGUUUGCAUUUUAUUAUUUUUCACCUAUUUCUUUCAUUUUAGUGUUUCUCUGUUUCGUUCAUCUGUUAGCAAAACUUUUACCCUCUAGUCGUAUAUACGUAUAUAUAUAUGUAUAUAUAUAUAUACAUAUACAUAUAUAUAUAUAUAUAUAUAUAUAUAUAUAUAUAUAUUAUAUGGAUAUAUAUAUAUAUAUAUAUAUAUAUAUAUAUAUAUAUAUAUAUGCAUAUACAUAUAUAUAUUACCUUCUUUUUAUGAUACUAAAUGUAUACACACAGUUAGAAAGCUAGAUGUUGUGGAAUAAUUGAGCAACUGUCUCAGGCAUCUCUACAGCGUCUUGUCUUCCUACGGCACGCAACUGCAUAAAACAGUUGUUUCAUUGCGUACACCGAUAGCUUUACCGGUGGCACGUAAGUGCCGAUGAAUAGUUGAAUGAGCAAAUCCAAGCUCUUCUGCUAGUUCCCCAACAGGUACGAUGGGAUUUUGUUCCAUCAGGGUCUGCAAGACGUCAUCAUCAAGCUCUACUGAUUCUUCACCACGUGGAUUGUCUUCUAGGAUGUAGUUUCCGGCUUGGAACUUCUGGAACCCCCGUUGACACUGGCUUACACUUAUUGUCCGAUCCCCAUAUACUGCAUUAAUAUUCCUCGCACUUGCCAUUGCAUUGUUGACUUUAUUGAACUCAUAAUGCAGAAUAUGCCGAAUAUUCUCCUUUGUCAAUUCCAUUUUAACUUUGAAAAUAUAACUGUUAAAAUCGAACUGCACUCUUCAAAACUUGCACUAAGAAUAAGUGCACGAUCAAAUUACUACUUGCAAUUAAGAAAACAGCAUUAUUUAUGGGAUGACCCAAUAUAUAUAUAUAUAUAUAUAUAUAUAUAUAUAUAUAUAUAUAUAUAUAUAUACGAAAUAAAAUAAUUACCCAUGUACUAACUUAGUUUCAGGUGUUAUUUUCCGCAAAGAAAACUGUCAUCAGUGUGUGUGUGUGUGUGUGUGUGUGUGUGUGUGUGUGUGUGUGUGUAUGUAUAUCCGACCAGAAAUCAGUCCAAUAUUGUCGGAGACGUGGGUGCUGAUUUCCUGACACCGACAAAAUUUUCAUUCCAGGAAGAUAAACAUUUUGUCCGAACGAAUUGCUUAUCCGCCUUUCUGCAAUUGUGUAUUCAUCCUUUCUAUUCGCUCCUUUUUAGUGUGUAUAUCUCUAUAUCUCUCCAUCUCUCUGCCUGUCUCUCUCUGUCUCCCUCUCCCUCCUUCUCACCCUGUCUAUCUACCUAUCUACCUACCCACGUAUAUAUGGAAAUAUAUAUUUGUGUAUAUAUGUAUGUACGUACGUAAGUAAUGUAUGUAUGUAUGUAUGUAUGUAUAAAAUUUGUGUACGAGUCUAUGUGUGGUUGUCUGUGUAAUUCUGUUUUAUUGAAUUCACGACCUAAUAUUCUAUAAAUUUCCUUUCGUUUGUUGCCGACUACAAGACUACAGGACCUGAAGUAAUCUUAAUUUAUUAUUUUGACUGAAGGGAAAAACGACAAACCUAAUUCCCAACAUUUUUAUCCGAGAUCGUGACCUGUUUUCAAUUAUCGGCCAAAGUCGACUGUACUUACUUCUUUCAUAGAACUAAUGGCCCCGGGGUGAGGCAUAAACAUCACGCACCCUCAUCUCAUUCCCACUACCAUCUCAAGUAUUUCUCUUCUCGUGAUUAGGCGAUAAAUCAAUUAUCAUGACCGGUACAUUACAGAAGCUGGCUUCAAAAGAACGAGGACAUCAAAAGAAAUUUUCAGUGCAUUCUUUCAGAUAUUACGCGAUAUCUCACAGCGGAACAAUAAUGUCUCUGACGAAGUGAAGAUAUUUAUUAUAACACUUCUAAGUUUCCUCCUUUCGCCAUGUUAUCUCUCAUCAGUUUUGAAAGUUUUAUUAUCUCCAAUUGCGUUAACGUAAUCAUCGUUGUUCGCUAUCUGCAACUUCAUCUCACGUUGGUGUCUUUUCCUUAUGAAGAUAAAUCUAACUUGUCGACACCAGAGUUUAUACAAGUUCUUGUAGGAAUGUUAUUUUUAUCAACGCUUGAUCGUUGACAAAGAGAUUACUGUCGACAUACACAUAGUUUAUAUACAUCGUUAAUCAAGCUACACGCUGAUUAACUUGUCUUACCUUUUACUAUUUCCUCGUCUGUGAUUACAUGGGAAUAUCAUUUUCUUUUUCGUCUUAUCUCAGUUCUUACUCCUCACCACCAACUCAUAGUCUUUAUUCAAGGAUUCGAUUCUCUGUUAAAAAAAAUUUUCCUGUAUUCUCACCUAGGUAACUUCCGAAGCUUUCAUUAACCAUUUCACAGCAAUAUUUCGACACUUGCCGCCAUAGUGAGAUUAUUUCUGUUAAUGAUUCCUACUCGCAUGCAACGACUGCAGCGUCACUUCUGUAACUCACAGCUUCUUAACAUCAACAUACGUAAACAAACACAUUUUAAAGUUAUCUACGACAUGCACAGUUCUGUACAGCAACACUGAUAGCAUAUCCCAUGUAUGUAUGUAUGUAUGUAUGUAUGUAUGUAUGUAUGUAUGUAUGUAUGUAUGUAUGUAUGUAUGUAUGUAUGUAUGUACGUACGUAUGUAUGUAUGUAUGUAUGUAUGUAUGUAUGUAUGUAUGUAUGUAUGUAUGUAUGUAUGUAUGUAUGUACGUAUGUAUCUAUGUAUGUAUGUAUGUAUGUAAUGUAUGUAUGUAUGUAUGUAUGUAUAUAUGUAAUGUAUGUAUGUAUGUAUGUAUUUCUACAACUCACCGAUUACGUAUUCAGAUCCUGUAUUUCUUCAUGUAAUUGAAAAAUAUCCUGUAAUUAUAUUGCAAACUUCGGCAGUUUUUUGCCGGAAAAUAAGCAUAUCUUAUCAAGGUGCAGAAAUGGUGUAAUCCGAAUGAACAGGAACAGUAAUACGAAGGUAGAAGAAUUCUGUGAAUUAGGUACUCCAAAGUCACUCAGAGGGCCAGGGUCUGUAUAAGCGUGCAGUAUAUAAUGUGAGUCGUUGGCGAUUUUCUUCCUCCGUCUUCCUUUCCUUUGGACUUCCCUCUAUUUCUGAUGAAGAGCUUGGCUCAAAACGUUAAAUCCUCUUUCCUUCCUUUCCUGAGCGUUUGAUAAUACAGUACUUCUUGUUUUUUCUUGUUUGUUCUUCUUUGUUUGGAUUCACAAUAUACCUCUUUGACGCUACCAUUCGAGAAAGCGAGACUACAGCUACCCUACUUUGACCCAGAGUACAACCCGUGUUCACUUAGGAGUUCAAAUCAACUAACUCAACGAGUAUCACACCCUCCAAUGUGCGAAUUAUUCUAUUUUUCGCUAGACAGUUUUAAUUAUACAUUACACAUAUUCUUUCGGUUAUAUUUUAUAUCAUAUUUUUGUCAUUAUAUUUCGUACUACAAAUGGUAGAACUGUAGCAAUAUCAGACCAAAUAAUUUAUAUUAUUUAAUUAUUAAGUUACAUGAAAUAUAUUUUAUGGUUAAUUCUUUUUUAUCAUUAUUAAUAACUUUAUAACUGGAAGAAUAUUAAAUAUACGAAGAAAAGCAAUUUGUAGUUCUUCAUGUGCAAAUACAUUCUAAAUUACAUAAAAUACGUAUUUAUAUUGUAUUUACAGUGUUAUUAUUCAUAUUAUUGUGAAUAACAAAAUAGAAACUAUGCUCGGCCAAACAAUGCACUAAAUAAUCAAACUUAUUUUAAUGAGAUAGUGCGUAGCAGCAGCGGUCGUAGUAGCAGCUGCGCCGUGGUUUCAGAGCACAACUUCUUUGAGAUUGCAAAGCGAACUUUAUCAACAUUUGACCAUAUUCCAUCCGAAGUUUUUAUCUUUCAUCUUUUACUUGUUCCAUUCAUUAGCCUUUUGCCAUGCUGGGGCACCACCUUGAGGAUUUUUGGCGAAUGAAUCGAUCCUAGUACUUUAUUUUUUUUUAAGCCUGAUAUUUAUACAUAGGUACACACACACACAGACACAAACACACACAGAUACCAACAUACACACACAUAUUAAUAACAAAAACUUUAGAAUGGAAAUCCAUUAGCAGCUUUUCAUGAGCUCACUCAAAAACGCUUCCCAUAAAUGAACUUGCAGAAGAUAUAUAUAUAAUAUAUAAUGAAAUUAUUGUAUACAGUGCUCAGGUGCACCACCACUUGUCAGAAAUUGCAUAUAAAGUACAUGCAGUAGUGUAGAAAUGUCUGGAAAGUGAACAUGCUUGUGUGUGUAUCAAGUGUAGUGUUGGCGAAUCUCAGGAAGCAUGGAAGUUUUGAAGGAUGCAGUGCUCCGAUAACUAACAACCGAUGCCGGCAGUUUGUUCCACGCUUCAGCAACUCUCAGCGUGAAAAAAUGUUUCCUGAAGUCAUGGGAGCUGUGCUGUUUUCUUACUUUGUAAAUAUGUCCACGGGUGUUUGAUGGGUGGAGUUUGAAGAGGUGCUCAGAGUUAUUGUUUGUGCGAUGGUUGAUAAUUUUAUGGGUGUCUGCCAAGUCAGCUGCCAGACGUCGGAGUUUCAAUGUGUCCAUGCCCAGGGAAGUAAGGCGUUCAGGAUAUGGCAAAUGCCUGAUGGAGGGUAUUCUUUUGGUUGCACGUCGCUGAACAGCUUCCAGACGAUUGAUGUCCUGGGCAAGAUAGGGGUUCCAGACCGGUGAUGCAAAUUCCAGGUGAGGUCUUACCAUAGCUAUAUAAAGCCGCAGAUAUAUAUAUAUAUAUACCGGAGUACACACAAAAAUGUGAAACAAGGUGGAAAAAAGAGUACUCAAAUACCAGUGGUAGAGUAAUAUGCUUUAUUUAAAGCAGCAGAAAAUUCAACAAAACCUGUUACUCUGAGUUUCACGUUGCCGUUCAUCGGACAGUUUUUGCUAGAUUUUUUUCCCUCCGUUUUCCUUUUCUCUUGGACAUUCCUAUGUCUCCUGUUUCUGAAGAAGAGCUUUGUUCGAAACGUAAAACACUCUUUCUUUCCUUUCCUGAGCGUCUUUUAACACUUUGCAUGUACCACGUACUCGCGUUGUUGUUUUUUGCUUGUGUUUUAUAUUCGUAUUUUGGGGAUUAACUACACACACACACACACACACACACACACACACACACACACACACACACACACACACACACACACACACACAUAUAUAUAUACAUAUAUACACGCGUGACAGGUUUCUUUCAGUUUCCUUCUACCGGAUUCAUUCACAAAGCUUUGGUCGACCUGUAACCAUGUUGUUGGAAAGCAAACAUCUUGCCACACGGCCUGUCCAGCCCCAAACCAGUUAUUUCAAAAUUUGGAGUAGUUUGUAGUUGUUGUUUUUGUUGAAGAGCAGGCUAGAUAUGGGUGUGUUAAUUCAUCAUUAAAAGCAUUCCACCCACCACCGUCAAACUUUUUCAUUCAAAGAACUACAGCGUCAGGUGUCUAAUUCUAUUUUUAUUAAAACCCUUAAGUUUGAUUUGAGGGAAAUUUAAGAAGUGGAUUUAGCUGUUCACUUAAUUACAGAGAAUGGCUUUUACUAGUCCGCUGCUGUUGGUAUUGUUGUCUCGUGUUACCUUCGAAUAAUGUGGAACGCACAUUUUGUGAAAGCCGACCGUUGGUUGAGUAAAUCCCAGUACAUAACUGGUUAAUUAUUUUAUCCGCCUCGGAAUGAUGAAAAGGGAAGAUUACCUUGUUACAAUUUGAUCUUAAUUUGCUAAAGUUUUAAUUAAAUACGCCAAGACAUUUUAUUUGAUAUCUCACUAACUGCGUCAAUGCAACAGCUACUGAUCAGCAAAGAAUUGAAGAGGAAAUGCUUAGUAUGAUAUUAUGGCACUCCAUUGGUUGCGAGGACGAGUUUUCCAUUUGAUCCAAUCUAGAGAACAGCCAGCUCGUAAAAAUAACGGUUGACCUUAACAUAGUUCUAAGAAAGAUUCAACGUGACAGAGAAUGUUACAAAGCUAGCCCUUUGAAAAACUGGUACAUGUCAUUUUCAACGCUUGAGUGCAGUGGGGAAACCUAAGAUAAAGUGUCUUGCCCAAGGACACAACUCGUCACUGUGUAUCGAACUCACAAUCGUGAGCCGAAUAUUAUAACCACCGAGUCACGGUCCUUCACAAAUGCUUCAUCUAAAAUUUAUCUGUAAUUAAAUAUGUUAAAAAUUAGAAUUUGAAAAGUCGCAUUGUUUCGUUGAUUCCAGCAAAAACAUCUAAUUCAAAGCAAAUGUUAAAAGUUAAUUGUGUUUGGUUUGAAAAUUCGUCUAAAAAUAUCGUAAAUGUAGGCACACGUUUCUUUUUAUUAAGCCUUCUACUACGGAAAACAGAUAUAUCAACUCAAAAUUUCAUUACCUUUUACUACGGAAAGCAGUUUUACAUACUGAGCUGUCUUUUGUUGAGGAAUGUCAUGUUUGAAACUAUUUUCUGCAGAGAGAUAUCAAGUUUAUUGAGGCAACGUGACUUGCAGAAAAUACCAAUUCUAUUUUUGGUAGAUAUUUAAUGUCGUUACAGGAAGAACCAUGAAAUUUAAUUUCGCAGUGAGAAAGUUAAAUGAAAUACAUCAUUUAAAUUGUACAUGUUGGAGAGUAACAUUUUCUCUACACUAGAGUAUUAUUAGCUUCCAUCAAAAGCGAUGUAUCUGCAUCAUUGUUAAAUCUAAUUCCUUACUCCUCUUUGGAAUACUUCAGCUGUUUCCUUUGUACCAAUUUCUGCUACUUUCCCUUUAAGUGUAUCAUCAAAUGCACAUCCUUGAUGUCUGCCCAUCCUUAGAAAAGACCGGAAUCAAAGAUACCAGAUACAGGCACUAGAGUGGAUUUGAAGCCAAUGACUAACAAAAUUUUCCGGAAUGCCUAAUUUGUUUCAAAAUAUGUGUCUGAGUAAGGCGGUGAGCUGGCAGAAACGUUAGCACGCUGGGAAAAAUGCUUAGCGGUAUUUCGUCUGCCGCUACGUUCUGAGUUCAAAUUCCGCCGGGGUCGACUUUGCCUUUCAUCCUUUCGAGGUCGAUUAAAUAAGUACCAGUUACGAACUGGGGUAGAUGUAAUCGACUUAAUCCGUUUGUCUGUCCAUGUUUGUCCCUUAUAUGUUUAGCCCCUUUGCGAGCAAUAAAGAAACAAGAAACGUUAGCAUGUCGAGCGAUAUGCUUAGCGUCUGUCUUUAUGUUCUGAGUUCAAAUUCCACCGGGGUCGACUUUGCCUUUCAUCCUUUCGGGGUCAAUACAUUAAGUACCAGUUGCGUACUGAGGUCGAUCUAAUUUACUGGUCCCUUCCCCCAAAUUUUGGGCUUUGUGCCUAGCGUAGAAAAAAAUGUGUCUGGUCACGCACAUAUUUCGUUCUGUCCGGUCUUUUUGUGGCAAUGGUUUCUCCACUAUUCCCCUUCAACAAAGACGAUAGAAGUGUUAUUCUACGAACAUGUGCAAUCUAAACGAGCUACAUCUGUUGAUAAUUAUAAUUAUAUCCACUUUUGCGUUACUUUCGUGAUCACUCUUGUAUAUGGAAUGCAUAAUUCAAUAGUAGAAAAUAUUACUGUAGAUAAAAACUAUCAUAAAUUGCUAAGACAUUUACAGAAAAUAUCUGGUUAAUUUUUUGUUCUUCACAAUAUUACAGUGGCUAUACUUCUAAAGAGAAAACUGGCGUCUAUCCUUCAUUAAAUUUGUAGGAAUCACAUGUAAAAUUGAAAUUCACUUUAUUUGCGAUAUUUUCGUUUAUUUCCAGAAUGAAACUUUAAGGAAGAAUACAACGCGAAUCUGAAAGAGGUAAGUUAAUAUAGAAUUGAAGAACUUUUGGUUCGGGUAAAUAUUGUACUAAAUAUCUGCUAACGUAGAACCAACAUGAACUAAUCUAUAAUUAUCUGAUAUAAUAAUAUUACUGUAUUUAGAAGGAUUUAAUACGCUAAACUUUAGAUUCUUUACAAAUUAUAUUAUAACCGAUUUUGAUUUUGUUCUGUUUUGGAUUGUGAAUAUAAUUCGCAGAGAUUCCAGAAAAAUUUUAUAUGACAUAACAUUGUUUCUAAAAGUAUUAGGAACCCAGAUUAAAAAAUAUAUAUGUAUAUAUAUAUAUAUAUAUAUAUAUAUAUAUAUAUAUAUAUACAUAAAAAUGGAUGAAUGAAUUAUCCUUUGUUUACCGUUAACUUGGAAAAUUCAAUAAACUGUUACCAACUCUGAACUCUUCCAUAUUCACUUCUCUAAGAAUCACAUUGUUAACACACUUAUAGAGCGAUCUUACAAAUGUAAACACUGACAGAAACAUACUUUUUACUCAUAUAAAUGAUUUCGCCAGUCUUUAUAGUUUGAACAGUUAAACUUGCACUUUACUUCAAUGGAGAAAUCUCCUUCUAAGCCUUUGAACAUUUUUUCAACCAACGUAUCCCUCUCUAUUUGUUCUCUACUUAUUAUUUCUUUAACCCUUCUCUUUCUAGUAUCUGCCUUUGACGUCAAAUCUACUAAAGGUUUUUUUUUCUAAAUACUUAAUAACGUUCUGUUUAUCAUUUAGGCAGUCAUCGUAUUUGUUAUAAUGUCUUGUUGUUGACAUAGGCUCUCUUUCUUUCCUGAUGAGAAGAUUGUAUUUUACACCAUUUAUUCCUUUGGAAUAAAACCAAUGUUGUCUUCGAAACAUAUGUCGAAAGUAAAAGAAUUUUAAUAACAUCUUCGUUCAACUCCAUUUAUUUACUUAUAUAUAUAUAUAUAUAUAUAUAUAUAUAUAUAUAUAUAUAUAUAUAUAUAUAUAUGUAUAUAUAUAUAUAUAUAUAUAUAUAUAUAUAUAUAUAUAUAUAUGUAUAUAUAUAUAUGAUUUGUUAAACAACAACAAGCUUUCAGGUUUGAUCCCACCACUUGGCACCUAUUUGGCACCUGCUUGGCACCUGAUGCUAUUCUACUUUGCUAUACAUACGUUUAGACCCCAAACUCCACUACGCGUCACAUUUUACAGUGCAUUUAAUCCCACAACAAGCACUUUUUGCAGUUAAAUUGGAUUGACGGAAAUUGUAUGGCACCGUAUUCGAUGGAAAACGAUGUUAUAUCAAUUCGGAAGUGAUUGAUUUGGUGUUUUGGCUGAGUCUUACGAUAGUAAUCGGUCGACGGGUAUGAAAAUAAUUAUGAGACAAUGUUUCUUCUACCAAUUCCUGGCUGAGAUUUUAACCAAAGAUGUGUAGUAAUUCAACAACCUUGGCUAGUAUUUUUAUAUAUUGAUCCAGGAAGAAUGAAACAAAGUUGACUCAGCGGGAUUUGAACUCAGAAAGCAAAGCAAGCACCGGAGUAUAUAUACCACAACGUAUUUCAGCCGUUGUUUUAACGUCUCUGUCGAUUUGUUACAAUCAUAAAAGCAGAAAUAUCUGUUUCAAAUUUUGGUCCCAGACCAGCAAUUUCAUGUAUGUGGGGUGGGUGUAAGUAGAUUACACCGACCCCAGCACUCAGCUGGUACUUAUUUUAUCGACCCCAAUGGUCGAUCUAGACAGAAUGUGAAUUCCGAGUGUCAAGAUGGACAAUAUGCUGCUAAGGCUUUUUAUUGCCCGAUGUUUUAACGAUCCUGCCACCUCACCACCCUAAUAACAUUGGAAAUAGCAAAAUGGCAUCGUUUGUGUACAUUUUUGUUAUUUAGAAAUGGCAAAGCGUCUGGCUAAAAUUUAGCAUAAACUUAUAACGUUCUGUGUUCAAAUCCAACCAGGAUCCACUUGAUUAUUUACUUCUCUCCUCUUCAGCUUGUCCAAUAAUUGCGAACCCGACGUUAAUGUUAAAAUGUCUAUAGGCUCGCAUUGAAUGUGAUUAACCUCCCCACCCAAAUUUUAUAUAAAUAUCGAUAAAUAUUUGAAUCAUUCGCUAUGUUGGACCAUUGAACUCAAUUUUAUUUUCAUUCUCUAUAUUUAUUUCUUCGUAUUCCUUUCUGUUGCAUAGCGUAGCCUCGAAACGUAAGACUUUCCAUUUUCCCCGAGUGUCAAACUAAUACACUCACUUAUUGUUCCUACACGUGUCUUCGUCUUUUGUCUUUCUAUAAAUUUGUACUAUAUAUAUAUAUAUAUAUAUAUAUAUAUAUAUAUAUAUAUAUAUAUACUAGAAAUAUGUUACGAAAAGAAAAUAUAAAAUGCACGUGGAAAUGUAAGGGUAAAAUAUGAAAGAUCAACGAAAAUGCAUAUUGCAAAUAGAAAAAGGCUAUUUAUGACAGGUAGUGACAAAUAUAUACAUUUAGAUUGACUGAAGUAGUAAUACGAGUCAUAAAGGUCAUUAUUAUGAGAUGAUUAUAAGAUGAUAAUAAAGUAAGAGAACAAAACGAACCAGUGGUUUACGCGAAGGCUAUUAAUCGUAUAUAUAUAUACACACAUAUAUAUAAAUGUGAUCUUGCUUCCUAGCCUCAGCGAAAGAGACUGAUAGGAUAGGUGCCAGGUUUAGCAAAAGAAAAAUGAAGUACUUUGGUCGCUUCAUUCGACUACAAAUUCUUCAUGGUUGUGCUCCAGCACGGCCGCAAUCUAAUGACAGAAACAAGUAAAAGAUAAAAGCUAUACAGUAAUCCCUCGAUUAUCGCGUGUGUUACGGUGUUACGUUCCCGCGAUAGGUGAAAAUCCGCGAAGUAAAUACAGUACUGUACUGUAUAAUAAUAAUAAUUUUUUUAUAAUUUGUAUAUCUUUAUUUUAUAAUAAAUACAGGAGACGGAAGAAUCGACGUAACCUUUAUAAUAAACCGCGAUAGGUGAACCGCUAUAUGGCGAGGGAAUACUGUCCGGUAUAUAUAUUUCCUUCUCAGCCACAUAGUUCGAGGUUCAGCCUCACUGCGUGGCACCUUGGGCAAGUUACUUCUUCUACAGCGUUGGGCCGACUAAAGCCUUGUGAAUGGAUUUGGUAAACGGAUACUGAAAGAAGCCCGUCGUAUAUAUAUAUAUAUAUAUAUAUAUAUAUAUAUAUAUAUAUAUAUAUAUAUAUACAUAUAUCUAUGUAUAUGUGUGUGUCUCUAUAUACCUCAUCACCGCUUGACAACCAGUGUUGGUGUGUUUACGUCUAAGUAACAUAGCAGUUCGGCAAGAGAUACCGAUAGAACAAGUACUAGGAUUAAGAAAUACUUUCUAGUGUCAAGGCGGUGCUCCAGCAUGAUCGCACUCAAAUGUCUUAAACAAGUAAAAGAAUAAAGGAAUAUAUAUAUAAUUUUUUAUUAUUUUAUUAUUUUAUUUGUUUCAGUCAUUUACUUGCGACCAUGCUGGAGCACCGUCAUUUAGUCGAACAAAUCGAUCCCAGGACUUAUUCUUUGUAAGCCGAGUACUUAUUCUAUCGGUCUUUUUGCCGAACCGCUAAGUUACGGGGACCUAAACUCACCACCAUCGGCUGCCAAGUGAUGGUGGAGGGACAAACACAUACACACACACACAAAUCCACUCAUAAGGCUUUGGUCGGCCCGAGGUUAUAUAUAUAUAUAUAUAUAUAUAUAUAUAUAUAUAUAUAUAUAUAUAUAUACUGAUUGUUGGUAGGGACAGCAUGUUUCAUUUUGCAGCCAUAAUAUUCUACCACGUAUGUUAAAAGCUUAUAAAUCAAUAAUGGUAUAUGCAUAUACAGCCAUUCCCUAUUUUCUGCCUUCAAUCGCUUUCUCUACAUAUUCGUAUACACAACAGCGUAACUUUCAGUUUUGACUCUAAUAUUUAUCGCAAAUCUGUAGAGAUAACUUUAAAAAGUGAUGCGUGCGUGUGCAUAUGUGUGUGCAUGUGUGUGCGCGUGUGUAUGCGCAUGUGUGUGGGGAUGUUGUACUAAUUAAAAAAAUUAUAAUGAGUGUAAUCAAAUGAUAUCUUUAAUGACAAACAAUGGUAGAUUCUACACUUACUGAUAUCACAUUAUUAUUUGAAUAUUUCAUUGGAAUAGGAAAUAAAGAGCGAAUGGUGGCUGUUCACUGGAAAGUGCCUCUUGACUGUCAUGAAAAACGAGAGGGAGGAGCUUAACUGAAAAGCAAGAGGCCAAGAGUGGUGGUGACACGGCCACCACAGACGCCCCGCCAAAAAGAGAGUAUUACGGUUGAGGUUUGAAGCAUCCAACUAACGCUAGACACCGUUUUGAUGUCAGUCUCUGUUGGUCAAAGCAACAUUCGAUAAAUAUAAACGGAGACACAUUUGCCUGUUGUAAUCGUUCCCAUGGAGAAAGAUAUUUUCUCAGUAGAUGUCUUUCUUCCAAUAUUGAGCCAAAAGACGUUAUGUGGAUUUGCUAAGAGAUGGUGCUAGCCUCAUCGUGGCCGAGCGACUGACUAGAAAUUGCAGCUUAAAAUCGCAAUAACAACAAAGAACUCAACUAUAUAGUCCGGUGGAUAGUAACAGAGGACAGUAUUUAUAUGAGGGAUACUGCACGCCAUAACACAGGUUAGAUUUUUUGGCAAAUUUUCUCAUUUAUUUAUUUGUUUAUUUGUUAUAAUUCAUUUGUGUGUGCGAGAGCAUUACCAACUUUUCCUAUUACGGUGUCACAGGCUGCUGGCACCGUUUCGGCAUUAUUUACCUUAAUAGAAACAUUUUAAAUAGAAUUGGAUGAAAAUGACGAUGUAUAACUUUUAUGUCCUAUAAAUAUAUAUAUAUAUAUAUAUAUAUAUAUAUAUAUAUAUAGAGAGAGAGAGAGAGAGAGAGAGAGAAUUCCCCAAAAAACAAAAGACGAAGACAGGUGGUGUAGACAACAAACAGAUGUAUUAGUAUAAUGCUCGAGAAGUGAAAAAGUCUUUAACAUUUCGAGCUUACGAUCUUCUACAGAAAGAAACAAGGAGGGAAAAUAAUAUAUAUUCACUAUACAUUAUGCAAAAAAGCACACGCACACGCACACACGCGCGUGCGCGCGCGCACACACACACACACACACACACACACACACACACACACACACACACACACACAUAAACACACAAACACACACACGGACGCACGUGCGCACAAAUAUAUGUCAAUGUAAAGUAAUUUAAAAUGGUUCUUCGGAAUAGCUGAGAAGAUCCGGGAUGGUGUUGACCAUCCAUAACGAUAACAAAUUAGAUGGAAACAUUACCCGGAGCGUUUUAACGACGCCACUUGUAAACGAGCCAUGUUUAUUUAACACAAGAAACUCUUUGAGACUCGUGUGCUAAACCAAAAUAAGUCUCGUCUGUCUGACACAAAAUUUUAGAGCAAUUGCUGUUUUGCGUUUGUAUUAUUGAUUGUAAAUGUUAUCCACAUCGUUAUUGUUAACAUUGAAUCUAAAACAACAAUAGUCAACCUAUGUUUUGCAUCCUUUAUCUGUUCAGAUAUUGCCCAGUUAUUGUUAAUAAAGGCCAUCACUUUGAAAACGGUAUGACGAAAAGUUGCAUUUAAUACCAUCCUUGUACAUAGAAAUAUCGAGAAAGGGAAAGAGAGAAUAGGGAGAAUAGGGAGAAUAAAGGGGAAUAAGUAGUGCUACAGAGGCCCUAUAUUAAUAUGUUUUGUUUUUUUGUUGUUGUUUUUAUCGAUGCUGAGAGAAUAAAAGUGAAAUACACUUCCCUGGUAUUUGAACUCAGAGCGCAGACAUUCCGAAGCAACAUGGCAACGCAGUCCAUUCACUGCUCUGUCGAUUCAGUAAAUCGACUAAUUUCUAUAUAUACAUGUACACCCACGCGUACAAACAUACAUACAUACAGAUAUAUAGAUAGAUAGAUAGAUAGAGAUAGAAAGAUAGAGAGAUAGUGAGAUGCCUACAUAAUACAUACAUACAUACGUAAUACAUAAUUUUACAUAUAAGUAUAAUAUAUAUAUAUAUAUAUAUAUAUAUAUAUAUAUAUAUAUAUAUAUAUAUGCACACACAUUCACAAAUAUGUAUAAGCCACUGUGUUUCCUAAUUACAUGUAUGCAUAUAUAAAUCUACUUAACGUAUAUAUGUAAUAUCCAUAUAUGUAUACAUAUAAAUACAUAGAGAUAAAUAGAUGUACGUCUACAUUUAUUUUUUUGUAUAGGUGUGUACACGCAUACACAUGCGCACACUUGGGUAUAUAUGUGUGAAUGAGGGGUAUGAUACCGAGAUUUCUAAUCACAUACAUUCAUAUAUACAUGCAGAAGAUAUGAAUGUACAUACAUGCUUAAGUAUGUAUAUACACAUACAUUUAUGCAUACAUACAUACAUACAUACAUACAUACAUACAUACAUACAUACAUACAUACAUUCAUACAUACAUACAUACAUACAUACAUACAUACAUACAUACAUACAUACAUACAUACAUACAUACAUACAUGCGCGCUGUUUUCAGAAUCAUGACGAUGUUUUAUGAAUAUAAUUAUAAAAUGCCACGUUUUGCCAGAGGGUUGAAGCGAAAAGCAACAAUAGAUGUUUAUGGCUAAUCUUUUUUGCAAUUUAUUUUCUACGUUUCUCACCUUUUCAGUUUUAUUAUCAAUCACUAACAUUGAAGAUAUUAGUUGUGAAGUGUAUUAAACACUUCUUUAUCUUCUUCUUUUAAUUCACAGCCGUCUUUCGCUCUUCAAUUAUGAAGAGAACAUUUGUUGUGAAAGCUUUAAACCUAAAGAAACGAUUUACAAGUUAACUUUAUCACACAUAAAAAUUCUGCUGCUAUAGAAUUCAAUUGGAUUAAUUUCCAAUGUUAUAUUUUUUCUGCAACUAUUAAAAUUCUUUUAGUAUAUUUCAAGAUUGGUGUUAAAGCGAUAAUUAUAAAUUUUAGUUAGCACGAAGAAAAAUAUAUUAAUCAUAAUAAUUCUUUAGCAAUGACUUUUUCAAAUGGAUUAUUUUUAAUUGAAUUUAUUUUAUAUUCUUGGUAGAAUUAUUUCUAUACUUAUUUUUGUCAACAACAAACAAUUUUGCGCACAAUUGGUCAAAUAAUGAGUUAUAUCUGAUAACGUUCAAGGCACGAAUAUAUAUUAGACAAUCAUAGUAUCGUGGCACUCCGUCGGUUACGACGACGGGGGUUCCAGUUGAUCCGAUCAACGGAACAGCCUGCUCGUGAAAUUAAUGUGCAAGUGGCUGAACACUCCACAGACACGUGUAUCCCUUAACGUAGUUCUCGUGUAGAUUCAGCGUGACACAGAAUGUGUCAAGGCUGGCCCCUUUGAAAUACAGGUACAACAGAAAGAGGAAGGAAAAGUGAGAUAAAGACUACAAGGUUCGCCACCACCCCUGGCGGAGCUUCGUGGAGCUUUAGGUGUUUUCGUUCAAUAAACAUUCACAACGCCCGGUCUGGGAAUCGAAACCGCAAUCCUACGACCGCGAGUCUGCUGCCCUAAUCGCUGGGCUAUUGCGCCUUCUCAACCGUAGUAUAUACGCACAGGAAGAAGUACACACCAACAUAACUAUAUUCGUGCAUGUAAUUAUAUGAAUAUAACUAUGUGUUUCUUUUUGGAAAUGGUGAAUCUCGAAGCAAAUGAAGCUAUAAAUAAUAGCAUGUAAAUAUUAGGUUAAAAGCUUUUUGACAUAAAAUGUGUUCAUGAUGUCAAAAAUCUAUGUCUUUCAACAUGGAUCAUAUGUCAAUAUCCGAAAAUAUCCAUCCAAUUAAAUGCAGCGAUUCACUAAUGAAUAGAUCUUCGCUGGCGUCAGUCGUCGUCUGUGCUAUUGAUUUCCAAUGUAGCCUUGUUACCUGUCACCGCGUCUUUGUGCUUCAACCGGAUUGUUUAUCUUUCAUCUCAUAACAAAACAUCUUCGAACGGAAUAUUUCAACACCGAGUUGCCUCCCUUCUCUGGACCUACUUAAAUCAAUGAAGGUUUCCUUACACCACUGUCAAUCUCAUUCUGGAACUCAUGGCUUCCUCCUGAAUGAAGCUCUAUCGGAGCUUGCCUUUUCAUUCGGUGUUCCUAAGGCGUUGUCCCUCAUCCGUAAUGAAUGUCUACAAAGCUUUACUCUGAUUUGUUUGAAUCAUAUCUGCCAUGACUCCGAUAGCUGCUCUAAGGAAGAUAAAACCAUUUAUUACUCUCUAUAUUCUCAGUCUCUCUUGGACCGUCGUGUUUUUCGCCCCACAAUUGCACUUCAAGUAUCAAGUUAACUUUUCUUAUUCUUCGAACUAGUUUCUUACAAAGUCUAUCACCAUUUCUGAGUCUGCUGCACAUAUAGAUGAUGCAGUAGGCUCUGAGUUGCGAGUGAUUUGGCCGUUAUUUCUAGCAAUUUUCGAGGCUACAAAAGAUGCUUUUUUAUUGACAAGAGUGAUUUUAUAAACGUUUAUAUUUGAAACACCAGUAUUCAUGGCACUCCAGGAUCUCUCAUACUUACAAGAAUUAACCGCUUUGCUCCCAAGCAAAGGUUUCAGCAGCACCGUUACUCUCUUAUUAACCUUUUGCAAAAUGACAUAUUUCAGUUGUUAUUUCAGUGACAAAGUAGCUGAAAAACACUCUAAAUCUUGCGAUAGUAUCUGGUUGUCUAAAUUUGGCGUUGGCAAACUCCUUACAUCGUUCAGCCAUUCAUAGAAUUGUUGAUAAAGUAUCAACCCCCUACAAACAUCUACAUUUCUAAAAUAAAAUUCAACGUAUAAUUAAUGUAAAGAAAAGUUCCCCAUUUAAAAAGAAUAAUUCGUUCCUUCUUUUGUGUCUUUACCGCUUGUUAAUAAGAAACAGUUUAAGGAACUUGAUGGAAAUGCCUAACGAAAUUGAGAAAAAAAAACAAUAAAAAUAUGUCCUAUUGUAUUGAUAUGAUGGAUGAAGGAGGUUCAUAAUCAACAAAUGCCAUCAUAGUAGACACAGGCGUGACUGUGUGGUACCUUGGGCAAGUGACUUUUGCUAUAGCCUCGGGGCGUUGGGCAGCUGAUGACGGGGAUAUGUUGGAUUGUUGGUAUGGCUGAUAUUGUAUGUGCGGAAUAGUUUUAUAAAACAUCCAUCUGAUACACAUACACACGCACACACACACGCAUGUAUGUAUAUUUGUGUGUUUGUGUGUGGAUGUGUAUCUUUAUGUCCGUCUUUGACCCUCACCACCGCUUGACAAUCGGCGUUAGUUUGUUUGCGUCCCUGUAACAACAGAGAUUCGGCAAAAGACACCGAUAUAAGUACCAACCUUAAAAAACGGUACUGGGUUCGAAUCGUUCGUGCAAAAUAUUUUCAAGGCGGUGCUCCAGCAUGGCCGGAGUCUAGUGACGGAGAAAAAAGUAAAAGAAAAGAAAAAGAUAGAGCAUAAUGUUGAAAAAAAGGGCAGAAACAGCUGUACUUUAAGACCAGCAUUAUAUGAUCCUAUUUUUCAGUUUUUUAAAGAAAAUAGGAGACGCUUUUUGGACGGUUAGGGCAUUACUUUUUGCCCUUCGAGUGACCAGGUAAUAGCACCUCUUUUCUCUAUUUCCACAGGUAUCGCGCUGAAUGCGAAGUUUGAAGGGUGUAGAUUAUCUUGGGGAAUACAAAAAAUUGGGAGAUGAGAUGAGAAUAAAUGCUAUCAAGCCUUUCCUUCAGUGUUUUCGUAAGGAAUAUGGAAGUUUUUUUACAGAUAUUUCGGUUCUUAUGACAGCAGAAAACACUACAGAGGAACUCUUAACGGAACCGUUGCAUUAUGAAAAUAUCCAAACACGAAAUAAACAAAAUAAACAUCAACGAAUCAACGAGUAGUAGUAGUAGUGGUGGUAGUAGUAGUAGUAGUAGUAGUAGUAGUAGUAGUAGUAGUAGUAGUAGUAGUAAUGCUGGUCUUGGUGGUGGUGGUGGUGGCGAUGGAUUUUCUUGUUGUAUUCAUAACUUUAUGAAUGUUAAAGUGUAUGAAUGCUUUCAGUGAUCCAAAGAAACAAUAAUUGUUAUUGAUCCAUGCACCGCGCACACAUUAUGAAAAUCGCGUACAUGAACGCACAUAUACAUACACAUGCACAUUGAACAUUGCAUAUAUACUCGUGUGUGUCUGUGUGUAUGUAUGUAUACAUGUUUACAUUUAUAUAUACCUGUAUAUAUAUAUAUAUAUAUACAACGUGCAUAUAUGUAUGUAUAUACAUAUAUGUAUAAAAAUAUAUAUGUACAUAUAUAUAUAUAUAUAUAUAUAUAUGUAUAUAUAUACACACAAUGUUUUGUAUGCGUUUAUACCUACACAUAUAUGAACAUUUACAUGUGCACAUCGAUAUGGAUAUACGUAUAUAUAUAUAUAUAUAUAUAUAUAUAUAUAUAUAUAUAUAUAUAUAUAUAUAUAUAUAUAUAUAUAUAUUUGUAUAUAUAUAUAUAUAUAUAUAUAUAUAUAUAUAUAUAUAUAUAUAUAUGCGUGUAUGUAUAUAAAUAUAUGUAUAUAUAUAUAAAUAUAUAUAUUUAUAUGUAUAUAUAUACACAUGCACACAUUUAUACGAAUAUAAUCUACUUAUGCAUACAGUGUAUAUACACAUGUAUAUUUGCGUAUGUGCAUAUCAUAGGAUGUGGACCCAGAUUCACACUCACGCACACACACAUAUGCAUAUCCUCAUGCACAACCACGCUGAAGCACAAACGCACCGAGUCUCUGUAAUUUUCCAGCUAACAGCAACGACAUUCAUAGCAGCAGCAACAUCAACCACAAGAACAAUAUCAACAACAACAACAACACUACCAAUAGCAACAACAACAAUAACGACAACAUCUAUUUGUUAUGAUUACUUCGAGUAAAACUUGUCGUUGUGUUGUUUACUAAGAUAAGCAAUCUCGUAUCUCCGAUGUGCAGCUGCAACAUGUUGCAACAUUUAUUGCAAGUUAUAAAACUGCAUCUCCUAUCCCUGCAUCUCAAACAGAAUAUAUUGUAGAUAUAUAGCAAUCAGUUGCUGCUUCAAUAUUGCAUCGAUAUAAGCUGCAGUGAGUGUGCAGCGUACAAUGUAAUAUGCAGGCUCGUUGCAUAAACAGGUUUCUAUAAAUACGGAGAAUAUUUGUAAGUCAAUGAGAUUUGAUAACAGCAUCGAUAUCUUCUCGUAUGUCUUGUCGUCCUGUAUUAAUUAUGGUAAAUAAAACAUUGUAACUGGAAGCAAUUGCGGAGAUUUGAAUCUUUAUAGUCGAAUACUGAAGCUAGUUAUCUUGCCUUUCAUUUUUAGAGGCAAAGACGUAAGAAAGGAGAGCAUGCCCCUAAGGUUUCCCUUCUAAAAAUAUAUUUAAUUCUUUAUUGCCCACAAAGGGCUAAACAUAGAAGGGACAAACAAGGACAGACAAAGGGAUUAAGUCGAUUACAUCGACCCAGUGCGUAAAUGGUACUUAUUUAAUCGACCCCGAAAGGAUGAAAGGCAAAGUCGACCUCGGCGGAAUUUGUACUCAGAACGUAGUGGCCGACGAAAUACCACUAAACAUUUCACCUGGCGUGCUAACGAUGCUGCCAGCUCACCGCCUUUUCUAAAAAUAUAUUCAGUAGUUGACACACACACACGAACACAUACACACACACAGGUAUGUAUAUUUGUGUGUUCGCGUGUGGGUGUGUGGCAUAUAAACUAUCCACAUGGGCGGGACGGCAUCCUUUUCAUGAUUUUUGCCAGCUGAGUGGAGUACAAUGAAAUAAAGUCAGGGUCGUUACAUUCCGUAGUGCGAUUGACCCCAAAACGCUUCAUCAUCUUAUUUAGCCAUUUUGAAUGAAGAGCAAGUUCUCUCGUCCUGUAUCAUGCUUCCAGCAGGAUGACAUGGAGGUUUUGUGAACAGCUCGAAACAUAACUGAAAUCCAGUCGGUUGCAAAUGGAGCACCAACCUUGAAAAGUAUAUCAGGACGAUACGGAUUACUCAUUUAGGACUGGAAUCAAAUAUUGGUAAAAGUUACACGACAACAGAAGAUGAUUGAAAUCAAUACAAAGGAGUUCAAAUGGUUGGAAGAACUUGAUAUAAAUCUAUGAACCAAGGAGAUGUUAUCGAGGAGAAUCUUGCAACGGAAUUGCAAGCAGUGUUACUACAACUAGAUGUGUAUCGGAUAUUGCAAUCGUUUAGUGAUAAUUCCUUGAGUCAUCGGAGAAACUUAUCAUGGUUAGAUUUUGUGACUGAAUAUUAAUGAGACCACUCGUUGAUCAAAGAGUAAUUAGUAAAGAUAAUUAAUGAUUAAUGUAAAAUAGUUUCAAAUGAAAUAGUUCUUCAUUUUCUAAAUCUUUUUAUCUCGUCUAUUGAUGAAGGUGUAAAUCAAGAAAGAAAUCCGGAGGAGAAAGUGAGGAGGUUUAUGAAACUGUAAAAAGGCACCCGCAGUUUCAGUCAGGAAUCAGGAUGUAUAGGGGAACUUUAGAUAAGAUUACUAAGAUAGAUAGAUAGGUAGAUAGAUAGUUAGAUAGAUAGAGAGGGAAGAGAGAGGGAGUGAGAAUGGGAAACCAGGUGGGCGCUGGUGCCAAAGGAGGCGGUGGGGUGCUGUAAGGAAAAAGGAGGCGUUGGGAGGAAGGCGGUGGAUUGGGGGUUGCUAUGAAUUCAUUAUAAUAUUAUUAUAGUAUUGUAUACAUAUAUGAUAUUAUAUUAAAUAUCAAAUACGUCUUAGUACAUAUAUUAGUUAGUAAAAUAUGAAAUAUUUAUUUAUGCUGAAAAAUAGAAGUGGGGGCGCUGAGGGCAUUAUGUGGUCAUGCGGUGGGGGGGGGGGGGACAAAAAGUUUGAGAACCUCUGCUCUACAUGAAGAGCAUCGUUUUUUGUUUUCAGUAGAAAAGUAAACUUUAGCAUGGAUUGGAGUCGUUCUGAGAAAUAAGUCACCCAUUUAAAGGAAGAACCGAUCAAUCACUGUAGUCUUUGUAGAUGUUUAGCAUUUGAAGAUGACGUGGAAUCAAUGAAGGGUUACAGGCUCUUGGAGUCAGACUGCAGUGUGUUGUCUUUUAAAUAGGAACUGGUUGGUUAUUUGAUGAUGACGUUAGUCGUUGGUAAAUUUAAUGUUGAAUGUCUGAAACUGAGAACAUAUUUAACCGAAUUCCCUUCAUGUUCCCCGAUGGUUUUGUCAACGAUAUUAAUAACAUCGAUAAGGCGUGAACUUGUGUCAUAACAUUAUAAGCAAUUACACUAUUAUAAGCUAUUAAACUAUUAAUCAGUCUUUGAAAGUCAAUCAGGGCAUUAGUAAGCACCAAAGGCUAACUUGGUAAACUCGAAUAAGUCUCAGCCUGAAAUACAGUGAAUCACUUACCGCCAAUUUUGAUGUGCGAUCUGUUGGUUUGCUGCAUCAGAUUUAGUUUACUGUAGAAUUUAUUGUCGGACAUAAAACAUCGUCGUAGAUGUUUGAUAGAAAGUAGUGGCUAGGCAUCUAGAAAACCGUAUCGAUUAAUCGUUUGUGUGUAAUCGAUAACAAAGCAGUGUUUGCCAUUGUUUCAUGUACUCACUAUGGAGAUAUGAACUCAAUAAUAUCACCAUCAAGAAGUCAUUUAUAGUCUUCCUUCAGAGAUGUUUCAUAUUUCAUGAAAUACAGAGGAGCGACAAGAUUUAUUAGCAGUUCGUUUCAAUUGUACUGGUGGAGAUCAACGACAUAUGAAGUAGUGGAGCUUUCAGUGAAGCUCUGAGUAUUAUCAUCACAGUUUCGAGUCCUUUAAGAAACGCCAUGUACCAAAAUUAACAAACAACACAAUUUUGGCAAAUCAUUUAAAUGUUGCUUUUCGUAAAAUGAACCGACAAAAAAAAGUUGGAAAGAAAGAAAAAGAAAAUGAUUUUAAAGAAACAGCAAAUGUAGAUUAGUAUAUCAGGACAAAUCGAAGACAUUGCUAGCAAGAUGAGAGAGAGAAACAGAAAGAGAGAGAGAUAGUGAGAGAGAGAGAGAGAGAGAGAGAGAGAGAGAGACACAGCGAGAGAGAUGCCUGCCAAGAAUUUCAUCCAUCAAACUGGCGACAUUCCACCUAUCGAAUAAGGUAACAAUACAUUAGACAGCCAAAGAGAUACUGCUAAUACUUCCAUUCAAGACCGUUUUCCUAAUGGUCUGUUUUUGUAAUCUCGAUGUUAAUCAUUUUUAACCAAAAUGCGGGAUAGACAUAGAUUUGAUGGAGGAGAUAUCCUCCAAAUAACAUUUCAGAUGAAAGGAGUUGGAUUAUUUUUACUACAAAUCUUUGGUCAGACUCUAUGUUCUAAAUUCUAAGCAAAGGUUUCAAAGAAAAUUUUGUAGAAUAUGGUCAGAUGAGAUCCCAAAAACAAAUGUGUGUCUAAUAGCCGGACAUGUAAAGUCUUCUUCCGGUUGUUGUCGCAACUGCAACUGAAAUCUACAAUAAAUUUAAUUCUGUUAUUUACUAAACAUCACAUUCCGGAAAAUAUAUCAAUUCAGUAGUUUUGUGUGAGUAGAUAGUGUGGUGGUGGAGCACGUGGCUUAGUGAUUAGGGUGUUGCAUUCAUGAACGUAGGGUUGUGGUUUCGAUACCUCGACCGGGAACGGGUUGUGUUCUUCAGCAAGACACUUCAUUUCAUUGUACUCUAUUUAGCUGGCAAAAAUCAUGAAAUGGGCGCCGUUCCGCCCAUGUGGAGAAUUUAUAUGCCACGGAAACCGUCAUGACUCGAGAAGGCUACCUCACAUUUUUACUAAUAAGUAUGUGUGAGUGUGUGUGCGUCUGUGCAUGUAUGCAUGUGUACAUAUGUCUAUUUAUGUAGGUGUAUGUGUAUAUAUGUGCAGGAGUGGCUGCGUGGUAAGUAGCUUGCUUACCAGCCACAUGGUUUCGGGUUCAGCCUCACUGCGUGACACCUUGGGUAAGUGUAUUUUACUAUAGCCUCAGGCCCAGUAAAGGCUUGUGAGAGAAUUUGGUAAACGGAAACUGAAAGAAGUCCGUCGUAUAUAUAUGUAUAUAUGUAUAUAUAUAUAUAUAUAUAUAUAUAUAUAUAUAUAUAUAUAUAUAUAAAUAUUUAAAAAUUGAGGGAGAUAAAUUAAUAUUAAUUUUAAUAUCAAUUUAAAACCAGUAGUCCAGCAUUCAAAAAAUCUGAGGGGGUCAGAGAAAAUUCAAAUAUAUGUGUAUAUUGGCAGGGCUGGCCUGCUAGGUAGCCGGCCAGAAUGCUAGAAGAAGAUCAUCAACGAUCAAACUACAAGGGAAAUUCUCUAGAGGAAGAAUUCAGCGAACACCAGAACCAACUUUGGCGGGCUGGUUUUAAAUUGAUAUUAAAAUUAAUAUUAAUUUAUCUCCCUCAAUUUUUAAAUAUAUAUAUAUAUAUAUAUAUAUAUAUAUAUAUAUAUAUAUAUAUAUAUAUAUAUAUAUAUAUAUAUAUAUAUAUAUAUAUAUAUAUAUAUAUAUAUAUAUAUAUUGUGUGUGUAUAUAUGGAGGCGCAAUGGCCCAGUGGUUAGUGUAGUGGACUCGCGGUUGUAGGAUCGCGGUUUCGAUUCCCAGACCGGGCAUUGUGAGUGUUUAUUGAGCGAAAACACCCGAAGCUCCACUCUUUCUUCUGUUAGCCUGCUCGCUUAGUCAGCGGGGUGGCGUCAUUUGAAGGCUAAAACAAUGCAAAGCGCAUUGUGACCAGCGAUGUGUAACAGCACGGUGUAUGUGUGAUCACGGUGAUCACGGUGUAUGUGUGUGUGUCUGUCUCUGUGUCUGUGUUUGUCCCCCGCCAUCGCUUGACAACCGAUGCUGGUGUGUUUACGCCCCUGUAACUUAGGCGUUCGGCAAAACAGAACGAUAGAAUUAGCACUAGGCUUACAAAGAACAAGUCCUGGGGUGGCCUUUUUGUACUAAAGGCGGUGCUCCAGCAUGGCCGCAGUAACAAAUAAAUGAAUAAAAGAAUAUGUAUGGAUGUGUAUGUAUGUAUGUAUGUAUGUAUGUUUCUAUGCAUGCGCAUGUGUGUGUGCAUACAUAUGUGAACUUUAGUUCAUCACAGUUUGAUAACUCGGUAGGUGUCAAAGAAGAUGCAUGCAAUAAGGGCGGAAGACUAAAAGUUACAUGAAGUCAGCAAACGAUUUUUUUUCCAAAUGAAUUUGCAAGAAAAUUUAGGAAUACAGUUUACCACAUUCCUGAAAUCUAAUGAAAUGUCAACAUUAUCGUACUGCCGAUAUUUUUUCAUUCUUGUUGUUGCUGUUACUGUUGUAUUUCACCGAAUAAGCGUGUCUCAGGUUAUUUUAUGACUGAACGUGUGAAAAUAACGGAUUUUGUUCUCGUAUUAUUCUCACAGAUCAGCGUAAAUCAGAAGAAUUUAAAUUAAUUUUAAAAUUACAAAACUUCACAAUGUGUGAAAUAAGAGCCUACGCAUUUGUGUUCGGAAUAAAGUAGGGAGUUUCCUGACAGUCGACUUUGCGGUUUCAACUGAACACUCCUCGAUUUUCUGUAUUUGAGUUAUUAAAUAGUUGUCAACGGGAAAAAUUUUAAAGAAUCAAGUCAAACCAUUUUAUUUUGCUCAAACGCUCAUCUUCGAGCAAUAAGUGUAAGCGUAUCCACUUCCAAUUGCAAAUAGUGGGUUUCCGCCUUUCAACAAAAUUAUACAAUAAAACACCAUCGUCGGAAGUAACAAUGACUUCAUACUAAUGACAAGAUAAACUGGAAGUGAAAUCUGGUCACGUAAAUGUAAUACAGGAAAGGACUUUUCUUAUCUCUGUUUUAAAGCAACGAUGCUGUCGUUGCAUUUCACUGCUAACUUCCUCCUCCUGUGUUGGCGAGGAAACAGCAGCUGUUGCAAACCACUUACAUUGAAGAUAAGUCAAUACUUAAGAGAAUGGUAAUAUACUUAAUGUAAUUGGUAAAAGAUAAUUAAAGAAUUAAUUACAAUUAAGGUUGUAAUGAGAGGAGGAAAAUAUAGAUUCAAUAACUAAUUUUAAUCGAAUGUGAUGAGGACAAAGUGUCGACAAAAUGAUAGAUCAGUUAUUGACAGACGUUUCUUGUCAAUUAAAGUUAACUAAUUAACUCGUUCGAACUAUACCAGCUGAAUGCUUCAUAGAAAGAUAUAGUCACAUGACUGUGAAUAUAUAGACAUGGAUAUUGGGGUUAUGACUCUUAUAGAAUUAAUGGUGUCAUUGGAGCGCGAUAUUGCUUGGAGUUAACGAAACUGCAUUCGAUGGUGAGAUCCUUCUACCGAGCGUCUCCAGUGAAUUAACAAUUGCCCUGGCUUUACUAUAAUGGUAGUAAUAGUGGUCAUUUAGGAAGGAGAGAGAUUCCGGGUGUGGAAGACGAGUGUUCGUAAUGGUUAUGUCCAGUACUUUUGAAAUGUUGGAAUUGAGAGCGAUAGGGUAGCUGUUUGGAUGAGAGCGAGGAGUUGCACUUGUUAACGCAACACGAUGUAAGGAUUUUAUAAACUUCAACAUAACUUCCACAGAGUUAACACCUAACCUGCCAAAAGUGUUCAGCGAGGAUACAGGGCAUAUUUUAAAAGCUUAAUAGAAGACAUAGGGUCGGGGUCGAUGGCCUUAUUGGUUUGAAGCUGGAUGCCAGAAGGAUGGAGGAGGAAGAUAUGGUUAUUUAGAAGAGGUUUACCCUGUGUUCAAGACGUUCUCCUGCGGUAGAAUCAGCAUAAAUGAGAGGUUUAGGAAAAGAAGAUUGUGCAUAGUUGAUAGAGAUCUUAAUGACAAGUAACCUAAUCUAUUGACUGUAGGCAGGAAUGAAAUAAAGUUUAAGUUUUGAGUGUAGCAGGAAGGAAUCAUUUCUUCGCAAAUGGUGAGUAUGUUCUUUAUUACGUAUUGCAUAUUCUCUACAUCGGAUUUACGCAUUAGAAGUUGAUAGCGAAAUACUGAAUCGGCUAUAUAAAGAUUCUCUCUUGGAAUAUCAAGUAAAAUAUAAUUCCCUGAUAGAAAGUAGCCAUUUCCAUAAACCAGUUCAGUUCAUUAACAACAAAUAAUCGGCCUUUUUAUUCUCCUGAUGCCUUUUCAGUAAAAGAAUAAUUUUUGCACUGUUGAAUUCCUGUUCUUCAUCAAGUGAUAUAUUUAUCAUAUGUGUAUACACUUGCUCGCCUUCACAUGAAGGCAUCAGCCUUAUUCUUCCCUCAUGUGGACAAAGGAACAUUGUUAUAUCGUGUUUGAGGAAGGUUACAUUUAAUUCAGUUACAAUUGUUUCAUUGUUGUAGAAACCUAUUAUAUGGUAGUUAUCUAGUGGUGAUGGACAGAAUGCCUCAUGAUACUAGUUCCGUAUCUCUGCACGUUGGGUUCAAAUUCUGGUCAUGGCAGCUUUGCCUUCAUGGAUUUCGGGGGUCGAUACAUAAUUUCUCACAUAGUGGGGCUGAGACUUCGUUCUGUCUCCUGCUUUGUAUUUAUUUUAUCUCGAUAUUUCCCUGGAAGAAAUGGGUUAUGGGUAUGAUUACAAUACCCACGGCACGUCUGAAACGAACCCUUACCACUUGUGUGAGUUAUCUUAUGUGUCGUACUAACGGCUGGUCAAUCUGUUCACUAUGUGGCACUGUAUGUGCUGUGUUGCAUAUUUUAAUGUCCCGCGGACUAUCAGCCGUGCUGUGGUUUAUUUUAUGGUAUUGUUUGUUCGGCGUUGGGUAACUGGUUAGAUCAUAGCUGUGUUUCACGGACAGGGCGGUGCGCUGCGUUCGUCAGCAAAUCAUUUCAUGUCUCUUUCCUCCAGUACCCUUAAAUUUCCUCCAGUCCACUUAAAUUUAAAUGAGUAAUCCAGCAACUUAUUGACAUCCUGUUGAAGCAGAAUGUUGUGCUCUCGACCACUUAGUUAUAGAUCAUGGGAACUGAGUAAGCGGACCUAGGACACGAGACAAUAACUCUUGUAUUCUCCAUGGCAAACUCUUAUGAUAUGAAUCAAAAGAGUUGUUGAUAUAGAAACACUUGAUACAAUAUUAGUGUGAGUGCGCGCAGAGUUUGUCAAAUUGAUGAGACCUUUUUGUGUAUUUGUUUGCGCAUAUGAACGAGGGUUUUUCUCCUCCAAAUUGCCUUCUAAAUGUCUUCAUCAUAUUCAUCAUGUUUUUAUUUUGUCUCCCAUCUCUCAGUGCUCAAUAAACAAUGAGAAUAAAUACCAGUUAUAUAGUGCGGUCGUUUCAGUCCUCUUCGAAACCGACUGACCCAUAAACGCAUAGCAUUAGCCAAAUUAAUAUAUAUUAAUAUUCUUGUCAGAUUAUGAAGAAUUCGCUGCCAGUGAAAAUUGUCAACUGCCUCAACCGACCACCGACAGCGAUAAAUAAAUAGAUAUUUAAAUGCCAUUUCACCAAUAUUUCUGCCGAUCAAGCAUUGUUGUGAGCUACACUUUAAGAAAUGCAACAUCUUCUGCUUACACAAAUAUUUUCUUUCCAUAUAGAUUUCCUGCUAAAAUAACGAAAGUUUCUUUAGAUUUAUCAAUAUCUAUUCUUCCUCUCCAAUUGAGAUAUUUUCUUUACAAUUACGAAGACUAUUAGAAUCUGUUUUCUUCAUUUGAAAUGUGGCAGACGAUUCCCAAACACUUCAGUGUCUGCCUGUUGACGUAAAGUUUUGUGGUUGUGAUGAGGUGCAUGGAAAAGACUAGGAAGACGAUGAUGUACGACAGACAAAAGGAGAGAUGAAGAGACAACAAACGAUGAGAUAUAAUGGGAGACAGAGAUAAAGUGAUAUUUAAGUAAAGAACAUAAAACAAAAGUGUCAAGCUAAGUAUUGGAAUGGAAUGUCUUGUAUAGCAUAUUCCUACAGACCGAAUAAGUUAAUCGAGUCUCAGAAUCGGAACAAUAAAUCAAAUCUGUGAAUACUAUGGCAACUGGCAUCUGUAGAAUUGGUAAAGAGGCGGUGAAAACGACGUUUUAUUUAUAGCAGUUUCUUUUCACGUUCGAAUCUAAUUGGUAUGCACUUUCCCUUCAAUUCCUCGAGGGAUUGAUAAAAGUACGAUUAUUAAUAUGAGGUCCAAGGAUUUUUUAAUGUUCUGCGUUCAAAUAGUGCUGAGAUCAACCUAGCCUUUCAUCCUUCGGAUCGAUAAAAUAAAAUACCAAUCAACUGGUUGAAUAUAUCGACUAAGCCCGUCGUUCUCAGCUGAGGUCAGCAGGACACUUGGGGAGCCAUAUGAGCUUUCCGGAUUCAUAUAAGACAAUAUUUUUUGUUACAGUUUAUGAGCAAUAUAUUUCUUAUACUUCUACAAUACACAAAAGGUUUUAAUUUUUUAUAAAAUAUUUCCUAGCAUGCGCAGGCGUGGCUGUGUGGUAAGAAGCUUGCUUCCCAACUACACGGUUCUGGGUUCAGUUCCGCUGCGUGGAAUCUUGGCCAAGUGUCUUCUACUAUAGUCUCAGGCUGGCCAAAGCCUUGUAAGUGGAUUUGGUAGACGAAAAGUGAAAGAAAGACGUCACUUAUAUAUAUAUAUAUAUAUAUAUAUAUAUAUAUAUAUAUGUUUCUGUGUCUUUGUGUCUGUGCUUCUUCCUCCACCAUUGCUUGACAACCGAUGAUGGUGUGUUUACGUCCCCGUAACAUUUGCGGUUCAGCAGAUAUGAACGAUAGAAUAUGUACUAGGCUUACAAAGAAUAAGUUCUAGGGUCGAUUUCUUCGACUGAAAUCCUUCAAGGCGCUGCUCCAGCACGGCCGCAGUCAAAUGAUUGAAACAAAUGAAAGAAUAUAAUUAAUUAUAAAAAGAAAGAAACAAGACAACAUAUUUUCUUAAACAUGGAAUGGCUUUGAGGGGCCAGGGGACUUAAAUAAGUAUGAAUGAGGUCCAUAGGGAGAUAAGGGGUCAGCAGCUCUGAGCUAAAUCUUUCAUGAUUGCUGGCCUUGUACACCAGUCAGAAACCAUUACAAACUAUCCUUUAGUUGCUGGUGAGCAACGGGAUGGUAGGGUCAAGAAAAACGUUCCAGUUCUCUACGUUCAGAGUUCAAUUUCUGCCAAAGCCUCAUUGCUUUUAUCGAUGAAAUAAAAUACCAUUGGUUAGGCGGUGAGCUGGCAGAAACGUUAGCACGCCGGGCGAAAUGCUUAGCGGUAUUUCGUCUGCCGUUACGUUCUGAGUUCAAAUUCCGCUGAGAUCGACUUUGGCUUUCAUCCUUUCGGGGUCGAUUAAAUAAGUACCAGUUACGCUCUGGGGUCGAUAUAAUCGACUUAAUUCCUUUGUCUAUCCUUGUUUGUCCACUAUGUUUAGCCCCUUGUGGGCAAUAAAGAAAUGAAAAAUAAGAAAUAAAAUACCAUUGGUUUGCUAAAAAUUUAUUGACCCUGUGUCUAAAAUUAGAAGCAAUUAUUUAAAUGCAAGAAGGUCACGGAUUGGCAGAAUCGGUAGAGCGACGGCAAAAUCGCUUUGCAUCAUUUGUUCUUCCUCUUUAUGUUUUGAGUUGAAGGCCUGCCGAUGUGAAGUUUGUCCUCCAUCUCUCUGGAGCCGAUCAAAUAAAGUUCCUCUUAACUACUGUGGCAAAUGUAAUUGACGCUUCCACUCGUUUUCUCAGAAACUGCAGGCAUUUUUGCCUAACAUUAGAAGAAAAUGCAUAGCUGCAGAUAUAUGGAGGCCAUCUGGCAGAAUCCAUAGAACUCAGGACUGAAUGCUUCCCAAAAAUCUUCUGUCUUUGCGUUCUGUGUUCAAAUUCCGCAGAGGCCAUUCAUUUUUUUGGGGGGGUCAAUGAAAUAAGCACUAUUUGGGUGAUGGAGUCGAUGUAAUCGACUAGUCGCAUCCUUAAAGAUUUAAGACUUUAGAAAGGGUUUAACGGCAAAUAUGACUGACAUUCCAGUAUGACCAUCCCGUCAUUUUGUCCUAUUUAGCUUUACAUUAUCCAAUGUACAUUUCUUUUAUUUUAAGACUAUGCAAUGCGAUUUGAGUGAGUUUGUAUAGUGUUCUUGAGGGCCUCGAUGACAAUGCAGAAGCCCUCACCCUGUGUAUGGCCCGGUAAACCGGAGAUAGAAAUGAUUUUGUGGAGGGAGAAAUUAUUUUAAGAUUUUAAUUCAUAACAUUUUCCUUAAAAUAUUGUCAGUAAUGGAUUAUACACAUGAACGAUGAACACUACUACUACUACUACUACUACUACUACUACUACUACUACUAAUACUUCUACUACUACUACUACUACUACUACUACUACUAAUACUACCACUUGUACUACUAUUGCUGCUACUAUCACUUCUACUACCACUACUACUAAUACUACCACCACUAAUACUACUACUACUACUACUACUACUACUGCUACUACUGCUGCUGCUACUACUACUACUACUACUACUACUACUGCUGCUGCUGCUACUACUACUACUACUACUACUACUGCUGCUGCUGCUGCUGCUACUACUACUACUACUACAACUACUACUACUACUACUACCACUACAACUACUACUACUGCUGCUACUACUAUCCUUUUGGAAUAUUUUCAGCGUUGAGAUAAAAAUGACAAUUGUCUCCAUUGGUCAGACUUGUGCUUCAGUCAGAAAUCAUUUACAUUGUUGCUUGUGUAUUUGCUUUAUUUUUGUUUUUUUUCUAAAUUUUCAUAAUUUUCUAAUUGUUGCUUGGGUGUUUCGUAGAAAGAAUAAGGAGGAGGGUGGGAAAUGAGGAGAUGGAGAGGAGGAGGUGGAGGAGGAAGAAGAAGAAGAAGAAAGAAAAGAAGAAGAAGAGAAAAAAGAAGAAGAGAAAGAAGGAGAAGAAAGAAGGAGAAAGAAAGAAAGAAAGAAAGAAGAGAAGAAGGAGAAGAAGGAGAAGAAAGAAAGAAAGAAAGAAGAAGGAGAAAGAAGUAGAAAGAAGAAAGAGAAGAAGAAGAAGAAGAAGAAGAAGAAGAAGAAGAGGAGAAGUAGAAGAAGAAGAAGAAGAAGAAGAAGAAGAAGAAGAAGAAGAAGAAGAAGAAAUAAGACACAAGGAAGACGAUGGCGAAGAACAAGAAGAAAAAAUAUGAUGAAGAGACAUCGACGACGAUGACGAAGAUGUCGACGACAAUAAUGAUAAUGAUGAUGAUGACGAUGGUGAUGAAGGAAGAUCUCCUUCAUUUAGUGCGCCAUUAAUUCUCAGACAGCAGACAAAAUUAAGCAAAAGAGAUAAAUCUUCCGUUGACAGGACCGUUGAAUCACAGGACCAUUGUUCUUCACUGUCCUAUUUGUUUAGUAGUAGUAGUAGUAAUAGUAGUAGUAGUAGUAGUAGUAGUAGUAGUGAUGGCUGGACAGUCUUGUUCGACGAUAUGGAAGGUGGUUUCUGCGUUUAUAAGACUGUGGCACCGUAGCGGAAGUUGCCUGGUCGUGUCUGGGCAACAUCUUGUGUGGGGGGAGGAGUAGAGAAAGAAAGUGAGAGAGUGAGAGUAGCUGGUGAGGAAGGGAGGAGGACAUAGGGGUGGGACUUGGAGAGAGAUUGUUCGCAAAGGUGUGUCGAAGAAUGAGAAACUGAAUCUGUCGAGUCUCCAGACGAACGUGUGUUAUACGUGUGUGAGUGUGUAUGUUAUUCCUGUCCCGGCUCAUAUAUGCGUGUGUUUGUAUGUAUAAGUAUUAUAUAUAUAUCUAUAUAUACGCACACACAUACACACACACACAUAUAUAUAUGCAUGUAUUUAUAUAUACUAACAUUAUGACCAGUCAUUGCCGGAUCAUAGUGCUAGUCCAUGUAUAUAAGUGUACAUAUUACAUAUACAUCUAUAUAUAUACAUCUACACAUAAAAUUCAAAAUACAAAGUUAUAUCUUGAUAUCGCUAGUGAUAACAUGUAUAUAUAUAAAUAUAUAUAUACUAGCAUUAUGACCAGUCAUUGCCGGGUCAUAGUGCUAGUGCAUGUAUAUAAUUGUACAUAUUACAUGCACAUCUAUAUAUAUACAUCUACACAUAAAAUACAAAAUACAAAGUUAUAUCUUGAUAUCGCUAGUGAUAACAAUACUCAAAAUAUAUAACAAAAUGGAAUUGUUAGCCCGUCUCUUGUAAUUUCAAUCAAUUGUAUCUUGUCCUCCCUCUUGUAUAGAAGUGUGGCUACAAUCCAGCCUACCUCUAUUUCUGGGGGGCCAUUUUUAAUUUUUAUCCGGGACGUCCUACGUCCCAGAUAUAAAGGUAAAAAUAAAAUAUUUCCACUUUGCAAGGUUCGAGUCGAGUACUCCCUUGCACGCUCCGUUGACUCGAACCUUGCUUCUAUUGUGGCGAAUUUACCGCCUCUGGUUAGAUAUCUUUCUUAGUCGCACCAAGACACUUUUCGAUGGUGCUUUCUUCCAGGUGUUCAAAUCUUUUUUUUCUCUACAUUGUAUACUUUAUAGACAAUAGUCUUUUCUUUAAUUUAAUUUUUUAUAUCGUUUUGUGGUGUUAUCCUAGAUUCACCGCCUUUGUCGUUGAUCAAUCCGAAAUAGGUUUCUGUUUCUUCCAUUUUAAUUUUAAUGAGUUCGCGCCCGCCGACGGCUGUAGCGGAAUUCCUUUUUGAACUUUCUUCUAUCGAAGGCAUUUUAACAAAAAUGCUUCCAUAUAAACGGUGAAAAUAUUGUCAAUUUCCCCAAACAGGGACACAAUUCAAUUUUUAAACAAUAACCAUAGCUCCUUCUUCCAAAGGGGGAGGGUUACGGUUAACAAUUAUUUAACAAAUGCAACACAAUAACGUUUCCCUUUCGAGGAAACAACAAACGUGAUAACAAUAGUUAAACAGUAAUAAUAAUAACAACAAACGUUACGGUGAAAUAAAAUCAGUACGCAGUUGAAGCUAUUGUCCUUUAUGUACAAGAAAUAAACCAACAGCAGUACUCAGUAAAAGCGGCUGUUCGAGAAAACAGACAUUACAUACAUCCAAACUUCAUAUAGAUACUUAAUUCUAGCUAAUUAGCAGAUAAUCUAAUGUAAAAGCCGUGGUAAAAGGUAUGUGUACAGCUCCAUCUGGACUAUUCCAUUUCUGCACUUAAAUUUUUAUUUAUUCCCAUUCAUGUGAAACCACUUAUUCAAGUUCAAGUCAUUGAUGCAAUUUUAUACCAAUUGCUAUUUUUACUUUAAUUGUUAUGUUACAUUUUAAUUAUUAUAUUAUACUUUAGUUUGAUUUUAAUUAUUACUUACUACAUAUAAUUCAAUUGUUAUUAUUAUCUCUAAUUUUUAUUGUUAAAGUGAAAGUAUCUGACAUAAAAUAGAGAGAUGUUUUUGUUUCACUUUUAACACGUAAUACUGAAAUAGUGGAGAAGAUAUGAUAUUGCUAUGGGCUCGCCCUAGGCAAGAAGUUGAACAUUUAUUUUUGCCCAUAAAACUACAUGGACCCUAAGUAAGGCAUGUGUAAAAUUUGAAUGAAAUUGAUUGCGUAGUUCUCAAGUUUUAGGGAAUCGUAGUGUAGAAGAUAUGAUAUUGCUGUGGGCACGCCCUAGGCAAAAAAUUUAAUUGUGUAGUUCUCAAGUUUUAGGGAAACACGCAGACAGACAGACACACAUUCUCAGUUUUAUAUAUAGAGAGAUAUAUGUAUGUAUAUAUAUUGAGAGAGAGAGAGAGGAAGAGAGUAGAGGAGGGGGAGAAAGACUGAAGUAAUGGAAGAAAGAAAAGAAAAUGGCGUGAAAGCAAGUCGGAGAUGGAAAAGUUUCCUGGUUGUGUUUCCUGUCAGUAAACACCUUCGGCCAUGAACUGAAGCCUUCUGAACUGAUAGAUUUACAUUGUUUAUCUAUCGAUCUUCAUUGUAUGAGUUUCGAUGAUGUCUCGUUCGUAUCAGCUGGAACAAUUCGCAUGUUGUGUUGUUCAUUCUGUCCACGAGAGCUUUAACGUCUAUAUGAAAUGGCAACCGCAGAAGGGCGGAAGCAGUUGUAAUUAAAUUUAUUUUAUUUAACUUUUUUCUUUUGGUAAGAAUCUUCUCAGAAACGACCCUCGACAUUCCGUUUUAUGCCAUCGCUAAAACAAGUUCCCACAAUUUAACAUGGUUAAUGGUACUCCGUCGGUUACAAAGACGAGGGUCCUAUUUGAUCCAAUCAUUGGAACUGCUUGCUAGUGAAAUUAAGGUGCGAGAGGAAGAGCACUCCGCCGACAUCCGUACUCUUAACGUGGUUUUCAGAGGGAGUCAGACAAGGCUGGCUCCUUCUGAAAUAAUUGCUGAGUGUGCCGGAGCAACGAGUAAUAAGAUACUUUUGCAUUGCUUUAGGACAGGGGUUCUCAACCAUUUUUUUUAUUUAUGGACCCCCUUCGAUUACUAUUUUAUUCUGUUGACACCUCUCCCCCCACACACACACUUAAUAUUUAAAAACUAAUUUUAGAGAUACUUCUGUCAAAAUUCUUGUUUUGUUUAACACACAUUUUGUUUAACACACGUUUCUUGCAAUGCAUACCAAUAAUUACAUCUAAAGCAAAAUUUUUGCAAAAGCCUUAAAAAUACGAUUUUGUCCCCCUGAUUUACUAUUUUUUUUUGUAGACCUGCAACAAACUAAUUGUGCCCUCAAUGGCCAUAUUGAUCCCUGCUUGAUAACCACUGCUUUACAAUGACCUAACUUGUUCAAGAGCAUAUUAUUUUGUUAUAUUUAUUUGGCGGCGAGCUGGCAGAAACCGAAAUGCGUAGCCGUAUUUCCUCUGUCGUUACGUUCCGAGUUCAAAUUCCGCCGAGGUCGACUUUGGCUUUCAUCCUUUCGGGGUCGAUAAAUUAAGUACCAGUUAGGCACUGGGGUCGAUGUAAUCGACUUAAUCCCUUUGUCUAUCCUUGUUUGUCCCCUCUGUGUUUAGUCCCUUGUGGAUAGUAAAGAAAUAUAUAUUUAUUUGGACACCGCUGCUGCGGUGGGUGUCAUUCUUCGUUGAAACACCUUUACAAUAAUGUCUGCCACACGUGGCUAAAUACGCACACGACAUUCGUUCUGUGGUGUGCAACCCGUUACUCGCCAUCCCAACCUUCUGCUGCUGCUGGUGAAUUCCGCCCUAUGUUUUCUCGUUUUCUUUCUUUCCUUGAUGAGGUUGUUAUGGUCGUUGCUUUCUUGAUAAUUUGAUCGUUUAUAUUUUUGAUGAUUUUCUUUUGUUUCUUUUAUUUUUGUGUACAUUAAACCUAAAUUUACCGAAGAACAUUUUUCUAAAGAACGGAUUACCUGUUACUGCAGGAAGUCUUUUACUUUAUUUCUAUUCCUUGUGAAAGCGGCAGAUAUUCUUGUCGGGGGUUUCGCCCUAUAAUGCUUAUUUUAUUUUGUGAUACUCCUCUUGAGGAACACGCAAAUCAGCGAGAACCAAAACAAUAAUGUAUUUAUUCAUUCGUGAUACGUUCUGGCAGAUUCGAAUGUCGAUAUAUUGAUCGCUGUUGUGCGAUCAUAAUGAUUCAUUGACAGAUGGCAACGUUUCAAAUUACCUUUAUGUCACUGAAUCGCGUGUGUUAUAAACACAUAUCGCCAAUAAGGAGGAGUUCUUUCUCCAAAGAGUGUUAAGCAUAUUUACGUUCGAAUCUAUCAGAACGAACAAAGAAUGACGACAUGCAAUCUGUUUAGACACUGGCUGUUCUGCUGUUUUAUGUGCACUGCAUAAAUUGGUAUAAAUUUGACUGACGUAGAAGAAGAAGAAGAAGAAGAAGAAGAAGAAGAAGAAGAAGAAGAAGAAGAAGAAGAAGAAGAAGAAGAAGAAGAAGAAGAAGAAGAAGAAGAAGAAGAAGAAGAAGAAGAAGAAGAAGAAGAAGAAGAAACUUUAUUAAUGAUAAUGUUUUUGUGAGUUUGUAAUUCUUUAGAUGAAUGAAAUGUAUAUAAGUCGAUGAGAGCGAUUUAUAUAAGUCGAUGACAGAGCUGUACAUAGGUCAACAAUUGAGCUGCAUAUAUGCCGAAAAGAAUUACUUUCAGGUGUUUUAGAUUCUUUUUAUUAAAUAAACAUCCGACCAUGGUUCCAAUUCAGGUUACAAUAUUAAUGGUAGUGUUGAACCUGGAAUGACCAAAUAACUGUCACUAGAAGUCUGAAGGAUAAAGUGUUUAAUAGAAUUUGGAAUUGAGGAAUGGAGCUAAUUGGAUGUCAAAAUUACAAACAAUAUGAAUAUAAAGAUAUCAUGUGAUAAGCUGGUGUCUACGUUGCUGACAAGACGAGAUAAGAAGAAUUACGAAAUCAACGUUAAGACUUACAAAUAAAUAGAACUGGAAAUAUCUAAAAGUCGAGGUGAAGCUACAAAAAAUCUAAAAUAUGGAGUAUCAUAUAAUUUUUAUGUGUAUGUGUGUGUGUGUGUGUGUCUGCGAGUGAGCGUGUCUGUGAGUAAAUUUAUAAAUAUAUAAAACUAUAAGCUUGUACGAACAUGUAUGUAUGUAUAUAUAUAUAUAUAUGUGUGUGUGUGUGUGUGUGUGUGUGUAUGUAUAUAUGUAUAUAUAUACAUACGCAAAAGAUUAUAUGUCUAUAUACAAGCACACACACACACACAUAUUUCACAAGCCUAAGUAUACAUAUAAACCAAAUAUAAAAAUUCUACGUCUUUACAUAUAAAAUUUACAUGAAGAUAUAUUCCUAUACAUCCCCAAAAUAAGUAUAUCAUAUAUAUGUAUACAUAAUGUAUGUAUUUAAAUAUAUAAAUAUAUAUUUAUGUAAUUAUGUAGAUUCAUAUAAUAUUUAUAAGUAAAUACAUAUGUAUUUAUAUAUAUUAAUGUAAAUAGGCGUAUGUACAUGUGUGUGUAUGUGUACCUAUGUGUGUGUGUGUGUGAGUGUGUGUGCAAAUUUCCAAAUGUCACCGAAAGAGAUAUUGCAUAACAAAUCCUAAUAUUCUUACGUAUAUUACGUUAAGAGCUAAAUUUUAACAAAUGACAAAGCAUGAGACACGACUGAACGUUUGUGCACAACCUAAUCACAUUUACAUGUCUACAUGUCUAAGUAAACACAGACAUAGUGAAACACUGAGCAAGAAACCGGGAAUAACUAAAUGACAAGCUAUCAAUAUACAUACAUAUAUAUAUAUAUAUAUAUAUAUAUAUAUAUAUAUAUAUAUAUAUAUAUAUAUAUAUAUAUAUUAUAUAUAUAUAUAUAUCUGUACGUAUGUAUUUGGAUAGUAUAACAAGCAAUGAGUUUUCUUGUUGGUUAAGAAUACUUAGCUAUAUUGACAGACGUGGUAACAGAAAUGGCCAGACAUUGAUACUUAUAGACAGAGAAGUAGAAGAUAAAAUGAUAGAGCGAUAAAUGGAUCGAUAAGAACAGAAGUAAACUGGAAUUAAAUUAACGAACUUGUAUCCUUUGUUUGAGCCUUGUAGCUAGAGAAUUUGCUAUUGUGGAAUUAUAUUCUGAGAGCUAUGAUAGUUAACAUUCUGUCCUCAGGCUCUCUUUUGGAGUUUCUCAUCAAAUAGGUAAGUCUUGCAUUUCAUAAAAGCAUGCUAGCACCAUGCUGGAAAAAGAUGCAUAUAUGCAUGUGUUUGUGUCUGUUACCGUCCGCUAUAAGUUCGGACCUUAGCUAGACUAUUCACAGUCAGGAACAACCUAGCUAAGAGUGAAAUUCAGUAGACCCUCCAAUUUUGAUAUAAUAAAAAUGUCUGUCCACUUUACAUAAUGUAUUGAGUUUUAUAUUGGCAAGAUAUAUUUUAGUGUAUCGAUGCCUAUCCUCAAAGAGAAAGGUCGUGGACGAAUGAAGCUUCUGUUUUCCCAGAAGCGGAGAAGAAUUAGUGACCAACAAUAAAAACCUGAAAAAAAUAAAUAAACAGAACAAAGUCAUAUGUUACUGGAAUCAUCCAAAGACCACUCGUUGUACACUGGAGGGAUAUAUAAUGUUAAUGUGGAGGCGCAAUGGCCCAGUGGUUAGGACAGUGGACUCGCAGUCUUAAGAUCACGGGUUCGAUUCCCAGACCGGGCCUUGUGAGUGUUUAUUGAGCGAAAACACCUAAAGCUCCACGUGGCUCCAGCGGGGGCGGGGAGGGUGAACCUUCUGUACUCUUUCCAUACAACUUUCUCUCAUCUUCUUCCUGAUUCUGUUGUACCUGUAUUUCAAAGAGGCCAGUCUUGUCACACUUUGUGUCACGCUGAAUCUCCCCCGAGAAUUACGUUAACGGUACAUGUAUCUGUGGAGUGCUCAGCCACUUGCACGUUAACUUCACGAGCAGGCUAUUCCUUUGAUCGGAUCAACUGGAACCCUCGUUGUCGUAACCGACGGAGUGCCACGAUAUAAUGUUAAUAGUUUAAUAAUUUUAUUUAGCUUUGAUGGUGCAGAAGAUGAAAGAAAUGGAGAGAUUGAAAUAGUGAUUUCCGAAAAUGAGACGAACUUUUAUUAGCAUGGA